rnacentral:lncRNA from 1 species
UUUUGCAAAACUAUUCUUUUUUAUAAUAUACAACCCUUUCUUUCACAGAGGGACUGCUCUCUCUUUUAUCUCAAAACUCAACUUUGGUUUUGUGAGUGUAACUGGAAACUUGAGAUUCCUAACUUUAAGGUAUUUAUGCCAAACUUACUAUUAAUUUGAUGUGGGAACUGUAGUUAUUAUCUACGCUUGAAUUCUUACAGAUUCUGUUCUCAAGUCUCAACCCCUUGAAAUUCCCUGUUCUGUUUAAUACUGAUAGAGUGAUUUUGUUGAUCAAAUGGUUUAAAUUCAGGUUUUUUUGGGGGAAAGAUGAGUUCUGUGUACCACUUUCAUGGAUGACUCAAGGUUACUGAAAAUGGGUUGGCAAUAGAUCUCCAAAAGGUAGAGUUUCUUACCCCUUCCUUAUAUUUGUGGGUGUGUAUUGUACAUGUGUCAAUGGGUCUCAUUCUGACCAAAUUUGUGUUAAGUUAUAAGUUGUUUUUUUUCGCUUUUUGUCUUUCUGUUAUUGCUGAUUGAAUGGCCAUGGUUUGUUUUUCUUUGGAGUUUGUAUGAACUCUUGCCCUUUAUUUUGCUUGGCUGAUCUUCUGCGGAGUACAUGUGGUUUACUUUAUUGCUCUUCUUCCCCACAUGGCUGAUCUUAAAGUUCUUGGUGUUAAUGAUAAUACCCUGUUCUGCAAUACUCCCUCUGUCCUCCAAUGGAUGUGACUUUCAGGUUUUCUCUGGGGUGACCAUUAUUGCAAAAAUAACUCAACAAAAUAAAAUUAUAUAUGUGUGUGUGUGUGUGAAAUAAUUAUAUUUUAUCCACACAAGUAUUGGGAAAAAAUACAAUCAUCUUGGGAAGAAAAUAUUUUACGAGUUGCUUUAGCUAUCAUUUUACUGCACUGCAUUGAUUGCAGGAGGUAGCAGUAGAUAAGAAUGUUCUUCAGUUUGUUUUUUAUUUAUAAUAACACUGUCAUUCCCUAUUUCUGUUGCAUUGCAUUAUUUAGUUAAUAUAUUUAGUGGUGGAGAAUGUGAUAUUGUAUCUUUAAACUUUUAAUGAAUGUGGAAGUCAAUAAACAUUUUGGUUAGAUCUAGAUGUAGAUUCAUGGGUUUUUGCGCAACAUUGCUAAUAUGAUUUUUUAAGUACUUCUUGUUCCCAGUAACUGGAUUUGUAAUUUCCUAAUAAAAUUUAUUUGAAACAACAAUAAAACGACAGCUGCUUAGUUGGAUCUCUUGUUUGAAACUGAUAACUAUAUCCUGAGUUUUAUAAGCUAGCACUCUCCAUGUUGUUCUCCUCGUCCUUUUAAAUCUCCAGGAGCUCUGAUUCGGACUGUUCGUCAAGCUGUCAUAAGAUAAAAGCAAAGGUGUUCAACAAAUAACCAAUCCAUUUGACACAGUAUUUGUUCAAAUUUGGAGAACCUCCUUUCAGAAAAGACUACCAGGUUACUCUGGUAAUACGAGAGACCAGCACAUUAGUUUCUUCAAUGCAAGCAUCACAACGCAGAAGAUCAAGUAUGUCCAACACAUUGUUCUAUCAGUCAACAAAAGGAGUUGAGUCCUACUCUUUGCCGCAGUCUCAAUCUUUAGACAACCAAUUAUGCUACAAUAAUAGCAGCCACGGAAAUCUAUACUCCAUUAAAGCUUCUCGUGAACAAUACUGCACCCUGGAGUCUUCUUCAGCAACUGGCAGUUUUAACACUGUUUACAACUCAUCAUCAACUGUCAGUUUCUCACCCAAUGGGAGCCCCAUGUCACAGCAAGAAUAUCAGUCAUACCCGCCUGACUCACACCGCUCCCCAGACAAUAACUACGGUUCUCCAAUUAGUGUGUCCUGUGUAACUGAUGACACGAAUGACUUGAGGCAUAAGCUAAGAGAAUUGGAAUCUGUAAUGCUGGGACCAGAUUCUGAUGUUCUCGACAAUUUUGAUUGUAACUUGGCCUCACCAGAGAUUGACAAUUGGAAACAGAUGUUUGAGGCAAUUCCUCGAAGGGAUAUGAAACAGGUUCUUAUUGCCUGUGCAAAAGCAGUAUCAGAUAAUGAUCUGUUGACUGCACAGUGGUUGAUGGCUGAGUUACGGCAAAUGGUGUCAGUUUCUGGUGAACCAAUUCAGCGUUUGGGUGCGUACUUGCUGGAAGGGCUUGUAGCUAGGCUGGCCUCUUCAGGAAGUUUGAUCUACAGAUCUUUAAGAUGCAAAGAACCAGAAAGCUCUGAGCUUCUUUCUUAUAUGCACAUCCUGUUUGAGGUUUGCCCUUACUUCAAAUUUGGGUACAUGUCUGCAAAUGGUGCAAUUGCAGAAGCAAUGAAGGAUGAAAACAGAGUUCACAUAAUUGAUUUCCAAAUUGGUCAAGGAAGUCAAUGGAUAACUCUGAUCCAGGCUUUUGCAGCCCGGCCAGGUGGGCCACCCCAUAUCCGAAUAACAGGUAUCGAUGAUUCCACUUCAGCAUAUGCUCGUGGAGGAGGACUAAAUAUUGUGGGACAGAGGCUUUCUAGGCUUGCCCAUUCAUUUAAGGUGCCGUUUGAGUUCCAUGGUGCAACAAUUUCUGGCAGUGAGGUCCAGCCAGAAAAUCUUGGCAUUAGAGCAGGGGAAGCACUGGCUGUGAAUUUUGCUUUCAUGCUACACCACAUGCCAGAUGAAAGUGUCAGCACUCAAAAUCAUCGGGAUGGGCUGUUAAGGUUGGUAAAAAGCUUGAGCCCCAAAGUGGUAACACUUGUCGAACAAGAGUCAAACACAAACACAGCUGCAUUUUUUCCUCGAUUUCUUGAAACAAUGGAUUAUUAUAUGGCUAUGUUUGAAUCAAUUGACGCGACUCUUCCAAGGGAACACAAGCAGCGGAUCAAUGUCGAGCAGCACUGCCUUGCAAGAGAUGUUGUCAACAUAAUAGCGUGCGAGGGGACCGAGAGGGUGGAGCGCCAUGAGCUUCUGGGAAAGUGGAAGUCCCGGUUCAGAAUGGCUGGUUUUACUCCGUACCCUUUGAGUUCUUUGGUGAAUGCUACCAUUAAAACACUACUAGUUAACUACUGUGAUAGAUAUAGGCUCGAAGAAAGAGAUGGAGCGCUCUAUCUGGGUUGGAUGAACAGAGAUUUGGUUGCUUCUUGCGCAUGGAAAUGAGCUCAAGUUGACUUGUCAUCUCAUUAAGAUCUGGUGCUGAGAUUAAACCUGUAGCAAUUUUUUCUAUUAUUCCUUGGUAUUAUUAUAGUGUUAUAACAACAAUGACAUCUCUCAUCUCUGUAGUAUGUUAUGCAUCAAACUUUGCUUUCUUUGUAUUAAAAGAUCAACUUAAUCCGGACAGGCCAAUAUUAUAAUUAGAAAGAAAAGUUUUUUCUCAACUCGAUAAGCCACACUUGGCAGCUUACACAAUUUUGUGGGAGAAAAAGAAUUUACUAUUAUUAUUUUAUACCAAUUAUUAUGGUUCAACAUAAACUGUACAGGGCAGAUUGUCAUUGGAUCCUCCUGGUGGCCAAUCCUAUCAAUCAGACUCCAAGAUACUUAAAAAGCAUUAAAAACACGGGGACAAUUUUGACCAGCUUCAACCAAAGAUAUUAACAUGUACUAGAAAGAGCUAAAUCUUUGAUUGGGACAUGACAAAAUACAAAUAGGUAUGCAUGUUACCAUUCAUAUUCAAAUUGCCAUUGAAUUUGGACCCCAUUUUUGCAGAAUCAUACUACUAGUAAUUAGUAGUAAUUUCUACACCGCCCACAUUAAAGAAUAUUGUCAUGUGAUGGGGAUAUUUAAUAGUAGAAUAAAAAUCUGGCAUCAUGCCUAGAAACCAUUCUCUAACCAAUAACAUCAUGUUCGUGUAGGCUCCACAACAAUAUGGAUGAUAUGAUGAAAUGUUUGGAAAAGUAGUUAUCUGCAAUUGUCCAUGAAAUUAUAGAUAUCUUUAGUAAAGAAUAAAGGGUUUCUUAUACUAAGAUUUAAGCGGUUAAAGUAACAAUAAUCAGGUAUGCACACACCCAGCCAUGAACAGGUAAACAUAAUUGGUUAUGAAGAAUUGGAUACUUCUGAUAUCGUCUACAUUCUGUUUAUAGUUCCUCCUUGGAAUAAUUUUUACAGCCAAAAGAGGUUCAUACAUCUCCAGUUACUGAAUAAAGACACGGUUUUAGUAACUUUCAGCCCUAGAACAAUACUUUGCAUUUCCACUCCCCCCACCCUUCCCACCCUUUCCCUUUUAUCUUUUUACUUGAACCCCAUAGACAACAAACAAACAAUAAACAUUAGUAAAAGAUAAAACUGUGAAGAAAACGGAGUUGCAAAAUGCCUCUAAUGCACACACAUCCAUCCUGCUCUAGGUCCAAUAAAUAUCAUCAUGAAUUGCUACUUGCUAGAAUAAGUAGCUUACUGUAACUGGGAUCAGAACUGAGUUCAGUUGCGGACAAGUUAGGAUGCCAGUGUUUAUUGCUCAGUUCGCACCAACAUGAACAACUAUAUCCAGACCAACCGCUUCCUUUUCUUCUGCUUCAGAUCUUGAUUGACCAUUCUGGGGUUUCGUAUUUGUAUUGCCUCCCGAUGCAUUAUGAGUAACAGUCCUUGCAGGAGGCAUAUCAUGGCUAUGUUGUCCCUCAUAUGUGGUUAUAACCACUUUUGGAUCAUGGGAUGCCCUCUCCACAUGUUUCUUAACAGGGCAACCAGUGCUCGAGCACCUAUAGUAACUCCUAAAUAACAUUCACAGAAAGUAGCGUUAUCAUAUGCCAGAAAUUUACAAAGCUAGUGUAGACAGAUGUGUAUAGAAUUACAACCACCGUCUUCCAAAGAAUGUCAUAAUUCUCAUGCAGAUUAAGAAACUUGUUUAUUGUACAUCAAUGUCUUAGUUUUUGACACAAUUUCAGAUAUCACCUCCAACAUGAGCCUAUGCACUUGUACUCAGGGGCGGACCUAAGGCAGGGCAGGGGGGGCACCUGACCCCACUGAAUUUUCAGGGGGUCAGGGGGCAUAUUAGAAAAAAAAUAAAAUAAGAGGGUCUAAAGUGAAAUUUUUGGCACUUGAUGGUCAACUCCAAAAAAUAAGAGGGUCUAAAGUGAAUUUGCGAAACUUUACCUUUCAAAAUUUGAUGAUAUGGAACUUUUGGCACUUGAUGGUCAACUCCAAAAUUAUAUUGUGGAUAUGAGAAACAAUCCUAAUUUUUCGAGUAUAAAAGAAAUUGGUGAAUUGACUCAAAUGUUGGUUCAGAAAAGAAAGGAUGAUGUGCAUCCCUAAGUCUAUUUGUUGUUGAAAGUGGCUCUACUUUUGCCCGUUGCUACUGUAACUGUUGAAAGGACAUUUUUAGCCAUGAAUAUCGUGAAGAAUGAACUUCAUAACCAAAUGGCAGAUGAAUGGAUGAAUGACUAUUUAGUAACAUAUAUUGAGCGUGAUAUUUUUGUAACUAUUAAAAAUAAGGCUAUCAUGCAACAAUUUCAAGUAAUGAAACCUCGAAAAAUGUUAUUAUAAAUAAUAUUUGAGUAUUGUUUAGUUUUGUAAGUUAUUUUAUGAAAUUUUUAUUCGUAAGAAUUUUUUUUCCCCGAGUUUGACCGCAUUGAACUAUCGGUCUGGAUCCGCCCCUGCUUGUACUUGCAGGGGUUCACAUUGAAAAUAUAAUCUUUGCACACUAAUAUUGCUUACAUUUUGCAAAAAAUGGCUCUCACUUUUUAAAGGAAGUAUAACAGAAUUGUGACAUCCUUUGCAGGAUGCAAGGGAUAAGUACUGAGAUAAUAAGGAAUAAUAGCGUGAGAACUAGUGUUUGCGACUGUAUAUAAGGAUUAACAGGCAUAUAUUGGAAUUGAGUUGCUGCAAUCUAGAAAUUUUUCUUCAGGAAGACAUCAUCACAAAGAUGCAGGAAAUUCAAUCUAUGAACAGACUAAUAGAAUCAUAGCAAUGCCAAAUAUAGCUGCUUGGGUGAACGAAGCUAAGCAAUAUACAGGAAGUCUGAAUGAGUGAAUUUCUAUCCAGCCCCAUGAAAUCAGCUCAUAGCAAAGUUUCUAUAAGGGUUUAUUUACAGGUGUAACUUUAAUUUUAAGAAGAUACAGUACCACUCAGAUAGGCAUUGCAUGCAUAUCAAAGAAGAAUUAGAAUAGAAAAAAAGUUGUUGCUGGGCAUGAGCACUGAAAUUUAUAUACCUUGGAUUUGGAUUGCCUUUCACUAAUUUCUGUCCAUACUUGCGCCAGCGAUAGCCGUCAUUCACUAUAUCAACCAGACUAGUGGUCUUGACAACAAGCCUAGAUUCAUCAUUUAUUCUAUUUGCCAAUGCCAAAGUAUCAACAGUAGAAAUGUCUCUCUUCCUGUUGCCAGUAAAAAAAAAUCACAGUUUAAUAACAUAUUAACAUGUUAGCCCAGGGUAUACUUUGACAUAGCAAAAUAUUACGAGUUUGCGAAUAUACUGUCUCUUAGAGUCUGGAUCUUCAUCAUGAUCAACCUCAUCUCUUGUUUUAAUUGAUUCUGGAGCUGCACCCUCCAUAACAUCAACACUUGUUUCAACAGUUGAGAUCUUAGGGGUCUCUAUUGGCACAAUCUGAUGAGAUGCUCUAUUAUGAACAUCGGAUGAUUCAUCUGCAAAUACAGGUCACAAAAAAAGUCAAGAAUCUUAUUGGUUAACUUGAACCAGAUAACAGCAAUAGACUUCACCACUUACCUUCACUUUUGGUCAAGGAAGGUUUAUUUGGUCUUCUUGCCUGGAUAGACACAGCUAUUUGGGAACUCUGUUGAGGUUUGGGAUGUUCAUGCUUCCCCCGGUAAUUAAUAUUUGUAAUAUUCCCCUCAUGCGACCGUUCCACUUGCUUUUUUGAUGGACAAUUAGGAAAUGUACAUUUGUAAUAGCUUCGAAUGAAUUGAUUUCCUCUAACAAGUUUCUGCCCAUAUUUUCGCCAGUUAUAUCCAUCUUCUGAUGGUUUUUUAGGUAUUUUACUAAGACUGUUUCCUUCUUGAACAGACUGUAAUGCAGGAACCAUGAUGUCAGGGUUCCGUCGCAGGGGUAAUUUUCCCAAAACUUUUUCUGGCCUAAUGGAUAAAGAGAAUUUUUCUUGAUCAGAUUGUGUUGUGGGGAUCCUAAUACCAGGAUGCAGAUCUAGCACAUUUUCAGGUAUAAUAGGAAGACUUCUUCCAUCCUGAUUGGUUUCUGAUGCUAGGAUACUAGUAUUAGGGCUCUGUGUCUGCUCAAUGUUUUCCAACUCUUUCUUAGGUACUGUGGAGAGAGAGCUUCCUUCUUGACAGGAUUGUGCUGUACCGGUGCCACUAUCAGGGCUCUGUCUCUGACGCAAAUUAUCCAGCUCUGUCUCACGUAGUAUAGAAACAGAGCUUCGUUCUUGGUUCGAUGUCUCACGAAGUAUAGAAACAGAGCUUCUUUCUUGGUUCGAUUGUGAUGAAUCUAUCACACCAUCAGGGCUCUGUACCAGCUUAAGAUUAUAUGGCACCUUCUCCGACAUAACUGGGAGAGUGCUGCUUUCUAGACUAAAUUGUGAUGACGGUGGUACAGUGGAAGGGAUCUCUCUCUGCAGCAGUUCACGUGGCUCUUUAUCAAGUAAUACAAGCAGGCUUCUUUUUUCGUUGGAUACUGAGUCAUGAAACCCAGCAACGGAGUUCUCUCUCUGCUGCAAUUAUCAGAAGAAAUUUCAUUGGACAAACCUUCCCUUGAAGUAACCAUGUGAAUUUGAACUAUUGAACUAAUAACAGAUAGAAUAAGUUCAUGCCAGGGCACCAUUAUCUUCUCAUGUUAAUUUGGAGGUAAAGGUUAUACCAGAACUAAAUUGAAACUUUGACACAUGAUUCAUGUUACAAGUUGUUCCAUAUAGAACCCUAAGGAAAUUACAAAAUGUAAAUACUGAAAAAUCCCAAAAAUUUGAAGUUUUAUGAGAUUCAAAUAGUUUGAAUUAAUGAAAUAUCUUGGAAGCAGUAUGGAAAAAAGUUUAGAAUGAAAGCAGCAAUGCGUGUUGAAGGAAAAUAAAGUGCCUAAAACAGUGAGGACCUGGAGGUGGAAUUUGAAUAGAAACUUAUACUCCCUACGUCCCGUAAAAGAUGUCUUAAGUACACUUUUUACACAAUUUAAGAAAAACAAAAGUAGAGGAGAUAGUACAAUUAAGUUCCCAUUUUACCCACAAUGGCACCACUUAAGUACACCAAAGAUUUUCUUUUUUUUUCUUUUAAGUAGUGGACCCUACCCAAGUACUUUUGAGAGUAAAAUAGACUUUAUAUAACAUUUAGCAUUUGAAUUGUGUUCUUUCGAAAUCUAUUUUUAGGACACUUUUUAUUUUUGUACUUCAGUCUUCUUUUGUGAGAUAGAGGGAGUAGUAUGUAAGCUAGAAUUUCUAGUAUAAUUCGAUGAUCAAACUAUAACAAUAAAGACAAGAAGUGUACUUGAAAAGAUGCAAUAAGUGAAUCAAAAAAUUGGUAAGAGCUCAAUAAAAAGUGGUAUUUUAGUACCUACACCAGUACCCCUGGUUUUUUUAGUCAUCAACUUUAAGUAACAAAUCUCAUAAACAGAAAGGCCAUUCUUAUUUUCCCUUUAACACUGUUAUUGCAUACAUAUUAUGCUUUGCGUCUUCUCAGUUUAAGUAUGAUAGGACAUUAAUCAUUCCUCAGCAUAACAAAGGUGUAGAAAUCUUGCCUAACAUCAAGACUGCCUAAUACUAUAAGAAAUAUACUAUGAGAAAUUCCAUGAUUUCAACUAGUCUUCUUUUUCUGUUCCCACUUCCCAUCAAAUAGGGGGAAGGAACCGUUAACAAAUAGUCAGGUAACAGUUGUGAUCCUCCAAAAAGGUGAUGACAAUGAUGAAUGGCCCAAACCUCAGACAUUGUCAGGUAAUUGUUCAGAUCUAGGGCAAGGAAUAUGUUACAUACACAACACAACUGAAACAUAGCAUCUCAAUCUAUCUCCAAAAAUGGGAACAUUCUUAAUGUGGAAAUAAAAUUUAAUCUUAUCUAUUAUUUAUCAUUACUGUCUGACUUGUCCACAACUACGAGACCAAUAGAGAUAGAAGUGAAAUCAAACAACAUCCCAAUGCUAAGUACAGUUUUACUUCUACAUGUUGCGGUCUCCAAAACCUACCAAGGCCCAAGAGACUGAAGAUUCAUAGAUUGGUCGUAUGAAGAAAUACCCAAAUUAUAUACAUCCAAAGACUGGAGUAUAAAUUCACAAGGGAUUACCCAUGCACACCGGAAAAAUUACUAAGAACCCAUGUACUCAAAUACAGUAGCGUCCAGUUCUACCCACAAGUAAUAUCUUGGUUUUGUUAACGAAAGGAUAGUUUAAGGUUCGGGAAGGCUGCAUUUCUUGUAAAUGCCAUGAAGUCGACAUGGAUUUUAAAGCCAUUAACAUGAAUCCAAUAUACCUCUGAUAAGUUUUCAAAUCAAAACCUUAAAAAUUCAGCAGCAUGGGCAUGUAAAUUAUGUAUGACCAAGUUCCAUGUGGGUGUGUUAGUAGAUAGUCUAGAGGAUUCUAGGAUAUUAUUUGGGGGAUUGCAUGAUUAAAGGGAGAUUGCAUGAUUAAGGGAUGAUUGAUUUACUUUCCAAAUAUACUACAGUUCUAAGCCUAAAUAAAGGCUCUCUAUUGUACAUUGUAAGAUAUAUAAUAGAAAACAUCUUCCCUUCUCUAUUUCUCCACACGGUAUCUGAGCUUGAAUGAGCUUGACGAACAAAUUAAAUGGUCUUGCUUCCACCGGCGACGGCACAUAGCCCGCGUCGGGUAUCUUUAUUUUUAUUGUUUAACUUCUUCUUAAGGAAAAAAUUAGGUGGUUAAAGUUCAGUUCUGGUUCUUUUGUUGGAGUUGUAGUUUAUUUUACCUCUUUUUUUCUCAUUUUCAAAAAGAUGACAUGUCCAGAGUAGUUAAUUUCUCGGGUUGAAAUAUGUAAAUGUGUUGUUGAUUAAUGAUUAUAGAGCAAGAUUGUUCAUGGGGCAGAGGUUUGAGGAAGGCGUGUGUCCUUCGAUUUUUUGGGAGGCUUAAGAGUCCUCCGUUAUCGAGGAAGGCAAGGAGUCCUUCAUCGUUUUUGUUGGAGACGAGUGUUAUCCAUUAUUGCAUGCACAUAAUAUCCUUAGAAAGUGGAUGUGAAGUUAUGUAUUAAGGGUGAAAAUCAACUUUGGACAUACACAUCAUUCUUUCUUUUUCAUUAUUCCUGCAAAUUGAGGAGAGCCUCGAAUUGAGGGGAACUAUUGGAGAUAAAAUAUUUUCCUUUUAAGUUUGGUUUGAAUCUUUUUGGUUUUGGGAUUAUGUUUUGUAACAAGUUGUAAGUCAGACUUUCAGCUUGAGGGUGUGUUAGUAGAUAAUUUAGAGGAUUCUAGAAUAUUAUUCUAAUAGCAUGAUUUGGGAGAUUGCAUGAUUAAAGGGAGAUUGCAUGAGGGAUGAUUUAUUUACUUUCCAAAUGUACUGCAGCUCUCUGCCUAUAUAAAGGCUCUCUAUUGUACAUUUGUAAGAUAUAUAAUAGAAAACAUCUUCUCUUCUCUAUUUCUCCACAGGGUGUAUAGGAAAAGUCAACGUGGGGCCCAGAAAGUAGCCGUGUGGAAAGAUUUGUACAAAUCCUGGAAGAGAAAGAUAUCCUCUUAUACGACACAACAGCGGACAGCCAUGCUAAGUGGUUAAUUAAUAAGUUUCAGUAUUUCAAAAGUGUACAGUUUAGAGGCUUCUAAGGUCAUCAGAAGGUUGGUGUUGAUUGGGAGUGAAGACGGAUCACCACUCAAAGAUGUAGAGAACAGUCAAGUUGCAGUCCAAAAGCAUCAGAGAUGGCUAUUCAAAUGGUACUCCAAAGUUAUUAGAUACAAAGCGAUGAUGUAAGACUAAGCCAAGCAAGAAGCUACUAGAGGUUAUUAUCAAGUAAAACAGCCAUGAUGAAUAAAGGCAAAUACAGUGUGCUGAACUGCCAUCAUUUCACAGGCUCUGGCCACAACUAUAUGAAGUUUGAAGAGUGAAAACUACUAUGGCAUUUAACACGCAACAAAAUACGACCUAAACAUAACUAACUUGAGCUGUUAAUGUCAAUAUUUCUCAUAUGCCACACUUUAGGAUUUGGAGAUUCUUCUAUCUUACCAAUUUUCCUUAUCAUGUACCAAUUGAUCAACAAACCUUUUUAUUUCCAUUCAUCUUUUAAAGAGGAGCGGGNNNNNNNNNNNNNNNNNNNNNNNNNNNNNNNNNNNNNNNNNNNNNNNNNNNNNNNNNNNNNNNNNNNNNNNNNNNNNNNNNNNNNNNNNNNNNNNNNNNNUCUUUGCAGCUAUUGGUCUUUUGUAUCCGUAAAACUUGUCUUGCAGAAUUAGCACACUUGGAAGUUGGAAUCUAAGUUGGUUCUUAGAGGUGGAAAACACCAUUGCUGUCUUAGUAUUGCCUAAUUGACUAGACGCAUGUAUGACCAAGCCCAAAAGGACGAGAAUUCUAUUAGAAAUCACCCACUCCCAACUUGGUUUCUCUUUCAAAUCACUGAAGGACUUUGCCACACCCCACAAUAAUGUAGAGUCUGGCUGACUUGAGUUGAACAGGAAGAGGAAAAAAUACGACCAAAGUCGACAUGCAAAUAGUUUAAAAUAAAAGCAAAGCUAAAGUAAUACCGUUAAAUCAUAUAUGCUCAAACUGGAUGUACAACUCUAAUAUAAUGAAAAUGAGAACAUGGAAUUGCAUGCAUCCAUACCGAACCUCAAAUAUAACAACAAUUUGACAAAUAAAUCCAUAAAGAGAAAAACUUUAUACCUUUAGGCAUUCCACAAUCUAAAUUUCCUUGGAAGAUGUAAAUCUCCGGGAUAGGAGCAAUUUACAAUUGAUCAAAGGAGGUCAAACCCAAGAAUGGUUAAACUUGUAUCGGCCUACGCAAACAAGAUAUUUUUAAUAUUGCUUUGAAUUUGGUUGUCAAAAAAAUAUUUCCAAGUCCUCCCCCACCCCAACAAAUUUACAUUCUACCGGGAAAGAGAAUGUAAAAUGUACUAUAAGAUAAUACCAUAUAGCUAUUGCGGUAAAGAAAUAUAAAAAUAAAAAAGACAGAAAUAACAAUGGGAAACAAAACCAGAACUAAUAAUAACAUCAAUUAUUUCUUAUCUUUUUUUAUUUUCCCAAUGUUCUCAACUGAAAGCCAAUAGGGAAAAAAAGUGAUUUGAACAUAGAGAAAUUGACGGCCAAAAUGAAGAGAGUGAACAAAUUAGUACAAGAGUUAUAGAAAAAUAAAACUAACUCGUAAGACAAAUUAAUUGAGCUCAAAUUUAAUAUACAGCAGAUCAAAUGAGUCGUAAGUUACACACCUAUAGAGCAGUAACAGUAACGUGGAAGCUUAAACCAAAAAACCCUAACCACUUCAAAAUCCAAUUCAUCCCCAUAUUAGCAAGCAAAUAAAUAAAUAAUAAAUACCUUACGCUAUUAGUCCGUAAUUACAGAAGGAAAGACAAUUGGAGCCGUCGACCGCGCCGAAGCUACGAUAGAACUCGCCGGAGAGAGGGUAUGAAGGUGAAAAUAGCUAAAAAUUUGGAUUUCUAAUUCUGAAGAAUUGACUGAGCCAAGCCAAGUACCAUGAAAGAUCAGUAGAAAAAGAGUGAUAUUGUACGAUGAAUUAUUUUUUUUAAUUAUUAUUAUUACUCCAUUUUUAAGUGUUUAAGGAAGGUGAGGUUGGUUUGAAAGAGUAUGUGCACCGUAAGCGUGAGCCGUUGGAUGCCUUGUCUGGUGGGACACUUUCUCUCUCCUCUCACGUGGAAAGGCUGGUCUAUGUGAAGAAGAAGAAGAAGAAUGACUGGUCAUGCCCCAGCCCCACCACAAAUCCUAAACGUUGUCGUCUUCUUGUUGCCUGUUACUACAUAUAAAGCUUUGGACAGAGAAAAUAAACAACAAAAUUUCAAUGCAGUCAGUCAUACAUACUAAAAGCAAUAUAUGAGCUGGGGAGCUGUGAUACGUUAUUAAAAUAGAAAUAAUUUUGUUAUCUAUAUAACAAAAUACAAAUAAAUGAUUUUAAAUUUUUUGUUCAUCUUAAUAAAUUAUCUUGGUCGUCUAAAGUUUGGAAUAAAUUACACCGUUCAUAGUGCCGGAGGCACGGAACUGUUGCUAGUAUAUAUAUAUAUUAGAUGUGUCCCGUGACUCGGCAUUGUAUGGACGAUGGAAUUUAUAUCAAACUUUAGACGGCCCAAAUAAUUUAUUGAGUGAGCGGGAAAUUCAAAAUCAUUUGUAUUUUAUUAGAUAGAUAUAUAUAUUAAUAAUAUAUCAUGAUUUUAAUAUUACUAUUCACAUAAAUAUUUCAGUGGAUAAAACUUUAACCUAAUUAUAAAAUAAUAAAGUUAUGGACAUAAAUUAUACAUAAAAAAAGUGUGCAUAAAUAAAAAAAUUAAAUUUUUUUUUAUACAUUUUCAUUAGUAUACAAUACCUAUAAUUGAUACAUAAUUUUUUUAUUUAAAUUUAUACACAUAAUAUUAUUAUUCAUUAUAAAACACUUGCUUACCAAAAAUGUAAUGACAAGCGCGUAGUAAUUCAGUUCGUUGGCUUAUUUAUCAUUUUCAUUUGUUAAUUUUAUGAGUAAAAUUUUUAAUUAUUUUUUAAUGAGUACUUAAUAAUCAAUAAAUACAAGAAUAUAUUAAAAUUUAAGUAUUAGACCAAAAGUAAUAAUAAUUUAAUGGCAUAAAAAAAUAAAAUUAUGAUAUAACAAAGAAAAUUUUAGUCGAACGUCACCGUCAUUGGAGCUUGAAACUAUUUUUAUAUUUUUUUAAAUUGUUUUAUUCGUUUUCCUUUUCCGAUGUACUCAAAUUACACUUUUUAUAAUUAUGUUCAUGAUGAUUAUUCGUCUCUGUAUAUUUUAAGAACCAGUCCUUCUAGGUGGAUCGGAAACUUUCGACCCGUCUAGUGAUCGAUUCAAUUUUUAUUCUAGUUGAAAUUUUUAUAGAAUUCAAUUAUUUAAUAUAAUUUGAAUACAUAUAAAAAAUAAUAUUACACAGACUAAAAAUUUAUUUGUAUCUAAAUUAUUCUUAAAUUAUUAAAUUCUGUAAAAAUUUAAUUAUAACAUUUUUUUAUAUGUAUUUAAAUUACAACUAAAUCACUAAAUUUUGUAACCAUUUCGACUAAUAUAUUUUUUUAGGAGUCAAAGAAAAAAAUACUUGGACCGAUGGCUAUACGGGUCAGAAGUUCCCAGUUCCCGGUCCCCUAGAAUUAUUGUUUAAGGACUAAUUAUCCAACUAACUGCCCUCGGAAUUUGUGUUCUGUUUUUCUGUCCAAAUAUUAUUAUUCAUAAAAAUAAUAAGACACGUAGAAUUAACAAGAAAUAAUAAGAUACAAAGAAUUAAAUUAACAAAGAAUUUCAUGUCCCUUCCGGGUUUAGCUAUGAUAACGGAUAAAAUUGUGGAUUUAAAAUUUAUUUGGGAAAUUGAUACUCCCCCCCACUCCAUAUUGAAUGUUCAAUUUUUAAUUUUUAAAAAUUAAAUUGAUUAUUUUUAGAAUUAAUAAUUUAAUAUAUAUAUAUAUAUAUUUUUUUAAAAUUAUAAAAAUUAGAAUUAGUAGUAAAUUGUAGUAUAUAGAUUGUUUUUUGAUAUAAUCUUUUUAUUAUAUUUUGUUAAAAAUAGAUAAUUUCUUUUUGUAAAAAAAAUAGUCAAUUUAACUUUAACAAAUUAAAAUUAAAUAUUUAAUUUGAAAUGUAAUCACUUAAAAUUUGUGAAGCUUAAUCUCGAGGAUUGGCACCAAUCAACUUAAAAAUAUACAAUCUUUUCUCAGUUAUAUUUUAUAAUUUAUAUUCAAAAUUAGUUUAUUUAGUUUAGCCACAACUUACAGUCUGACAGUAUAAAUAUAUACAAAAAUUUGUCCUUGAUUGGGAUUCCUUUAAUCACGAAUAGGUCUAUCCUUGAUUGUGAAAUGAAAAUAUCAAUUCUGAACAGAUUAACCUUAUUCAAAUUUAAAAUAAAAAAAAAAACAGAAUAAAAGAGGCCUCAGAAUUGCAGAAUUGGUCAACAAGGCCUUGAAAACAAAGCCAAUCAGUCCCGAAAGAUGGUGUAUUUUGUAUCUGAUUUCCUCAGGGGCCGAAGAAGAUUUAUAAAACAUAAUCUAAUUUUAGAAAUAAGAAAAUUCAAAGUAAAGAAUGUUCUUCUCAUGGCAAGUCCCAAGAGGUAAUUGCAGAGAGUCUGCGUCACCCCAAGGCGAUAGGAUAUGAGAAACUUCCCUUUCUUUGACGACGAGAACAAGCCUCGCUCAAAGCGGAAACUCCAUUUCCGACGAUUUUUCUUCAAUGGGUUUUGCGGAUAUUAUUAAUUUAUUCGCCCCAAUUUCAUAGCUAAAUCGUCGAAUAAUAAAUAUAAACAAAAAACAAACCCUAAUAAUUAUCAUAAUAAACCCUAGACCACUAGGACGGAACGAGGCAAGGAUUAUGGUAUUUAUAGGGUAGGUGAUUAUAUCUUGGCCGUUCGAUCAUUCGGUGGGCCUUUGUAGUAUAUAAAUAAGCCCACGUAUAAUUGUGUAAACUCCACAAUAAAAUAGGCCUUUUAUCCAACUGCUUUAUUUUCCAGACCCUAUAAUAAAAUAGGCCUUCUUUCCAAAUCCUAGAUUAAAAUGGGCCGUUUCCUUACCCAAUAAAAUACUAGAGAAAUAAAAAAGUAAUUAUAAUCCAUAAUAAAAACAAUAAUAAAUUUGUAAUUCAUCCAAAUAAUCUAUAAUCUAUUAUCUAUUAUAUAUACUAAAUGACAAUACAUGACACAAUAGAUUGACAUCUGUCUUUCUACAAUUUUAACACCUGUCAAUCUUAUUUACUAGUAUACAUUGGCCUCGACAAAAAUACCCUUCACAAAUCGGGCGACUAAAAUAACAACUGAGAUCGUAAAAACCUAAAUACAAUCCCCUAAUUAGAUAGGGAUUGCAGUGAUGAUUUUCCCCAAUUUUUUUCUGUUAAUGGAGCUGCAUUCUUCGGCAAAUCUGACCGAAAAAUCGGAAGUAGCCGUCGAUAUGAGAGGAUCUAAUGGCUUCAGCGCGCGGAAAUAACUGAAGAGAUGGAUAUCAUAAUCCAAAGCCUGAUAUCAUAACCCAUACCCAAUGCCGGCGAAAAUCACAACAUAUUAUUUUUCCGCUAUGCAAAGUCUCUCUCAGUCACACACAUACAUACAUACAUAUAUUGUAUUUAUUAAUAUCCCUUAAUUUGUUUUGCUAUUUGGAUUUUGUUAAAAGUUUUAAAUUCUGGGGUUUUGCUAUUUCCAAAUGGGUUGCUCUUAUACAUAACAUUAAAGAGUUUUGUUGGGAUUUGUACAUCUUUAGGAUACAAUUUAUUGGAUAAUAUGGAUUUUAUUUCAUUGUUGCCGGUAUAAUAUUAAUAUUAAUAUUAAUAUGGAUAAUAUGAAUUUUAUUUCAAGAACUGACAUUUGUGUUUUUUGCCCCUGGUAUGUAGAAUGUAUACUACUUUGUGCUCCGUUUGUUACCAAUAAACAAUGAGAAUGUUUUGCAAUUUAGAGGUAGGUGGGUGGAUGAAAAUUAGACUUGCUGUUUCAUGACAAUUUAGUAAUUCAUUUAAUCAAAUGAGUGGUUUAGGCUCAUUUUACUCUGAGGCUACUUUAAAUAAUUGUGAGUUACUUGGUUUCUUAAGUUUUUUUUUUCCAUUGGCUUGUGUUUAAUUAUUUGUCCAACGAAGGAUUUUGUUUUUCUUUCCCUUGCGUGUCUCCUUUUUGAGGCCUGUUCUUUGAGAUAUUUUUAAUAUAAUGUGUAUAUUUAGUAAAAAGAUAGAAAUCUGAGAGACAAUGAACAGAAGGAUCAUUAAACCAUACAAGUAUUCUAACAAUUAAAAUCAUAUAUUAUAUAAUGUAUUGUUUAUGGGUAUGUGUGGCCUUUUCUUGUGAUUGAUUUGCAUCAGUUCUAGAAGGAUUUAGACUUGAUUUUCUUGAUGAAUAUUCUUUAUGGAACAUGCUUAAUAUAUGAAAUUAUUAUCAGCCUUUGAUGUUCACUUUGUUUGAUAAUUGGUUAUUAGAUCGACUGAUCAAGUUCACUGUGUGUUAGUUUUGCUAUUCAUUGCUUUACGAAUAUAUAUUGUAUCGUUGACCAAUAUUGCAUUCAUCCUUUUGCUUUGUGUUAAUUUUUAAAAUCCUGUUGUUUUUCUAGCUGUAAUUGUGCUAUGGAUAUAUGUUUUUUUUAAGCACAAAGUAUAAUUGUUUAUACUUUGUAUUUACACACUGCAACAGUAUAACCAAAAAGAUGAAGACUGCUCACUCCAAUAUUAAUGAAGGUCUAAUCAGCCCAGCAAAAGCAUUUUACACCAUAAACACCUAUAGAGGCGCAUCUCUUUGAUUCAAUAGCUUCCUCUUUGUAUUAGAUUCCUGUUAAGUCUAAAUUAUGAUCUUAGUAAUUAAUUAUGCUAAAGUCAAACAAUUUUAAGACUUUCGAAAUUGGACUUUCUUUUGUGAUGGAGGGAGUAACAUAUUAAUGUCUGUGCUUUUUAUGGCAUCUUUUUCUACCAAGAUUUUUCCCUGACAUUUACGUCAAGUCACAUGGAUUUUGAGUGAUUGGAUGUUCUCUUAGGCGGUAUUUUAUCCAUUUUAGUAAUGCAUGAUCUUAAUUUCAUAAUUGAGAUGGGAUUUUGAUGUAAUACUAACUAAGUUUUUACUCUCAUUUUGUGACAAUUUUUUCCCUGAUAUAACAAUAAAUGCACAUUUUUUAGCAGGUUCGAGGUGCAUUAUGUAAGAUCACUUAGUAAUUUUUCUAUAAUUUUAGUAAGUCAAGCCUAUGGGGUAUUUAUAAGUUUUUGUCUGGCAUUAGAUUGUACUUUAUUUGUAAACAUUCUGUUGCAUUUGUUGAAUCACUAGCACACAGAUCCAUGUUAAGUGAACAGAAAAUGUAUUCAAAACAUUCCCUGCGUAAGUUAUUACUUUCACACAUACAGAUUAAAAAGUUUAUACUGCUUCUUAAAUGUGUUGAUAUGGUAUACAUAUAUGUGUUUGUGUGUGUCUAUGNNNNNNNNNNNNNNNNNNNNNNNNNNNNNNNNNNNNNNNNNNNNNNNNNNNNNNNNNNNNNNNNNNNNNNNNNNNNNNNNNNNNNNNNNNNNNNNNNNNNNNNNNNNNNNNNNNNNNNNNNNNNNNNNNNNNNNNNNNNNNNNNNNNNNNNNNNNNNNNNNNNNNNNNNNNNNNNNNNNNNNNNNNNNNNNNNNNNNNNNNNNNNNNNNNNNNNNNNNNNNNNNNNNNNNNNNNNNNNNNNNNNNNNNNNNNNNNNNNNNNNNNNNNNNNNNNNNNNNNNNNNNNNNNNNNNNNNNNNNNNNNNNNNNNNNNNNNNNNNNNNNNNNNNNNNNNNNNNNNNNNNNNNNNNNNNNNNNNNNNNNNNNNNNNNNNNNNNNNNNNNNNNNNNNNNNNNNNNNNNNNNNNNNNNNNNNNNNNNNNNNNNNNNNNNNNNNNNNNNNNNNNNNNNNNNNNNNNNNNNNNNNNNNNNNNNNNNNNNNNNNNNNNNNNNNNNNNNNNNNNNNNNNNNNNNNNNNNNNNNNNNNNNNNNUUCUUACGUAAGAGUCAAUAAUUGGUGCAAUACCGUGUGCUACUGUGCAACAACGCGUAUUACUGUGUUUUAACCACCGGGUAUUCCAACAGUGUAAACGGUAAUAAGUACGCCGUUAUUUUUGUACAACUUAUAUUUGUCCUUUUCUUCCUCCAAUCGCUUUCCGUUAUGGGGCCCACACAUGGCUGCGCCGUCGUACAAUUAUUCCCCGACAGUACGAAUAUUCCACGACCAAACGAAUAUUCCCCGACAACAAUGAAUAUUUUAUAACCACUUGCUUAUUUUGUAAAAUUUGCGCAUUUUACCCAUAACUAACCACAUUAAUCAAAUCAACCCUUACUAUUUCAAAAUAAUAAAUAAAGGAAAUUCCAUUUUAUUUAUAAAAAAUUCGAGGUCUUACAUCUACGGCCAAACUAUCCCAUGCAUAUUGAUUGUGUUUCCUAUUUCAUGUUAGAAUCCACCAACAAAAUGAGCACAAGUACUACAUCUGUGAAAGCAAGCAAAACUUCAAGAAUGCAUCUAAGUGACAUUUCAAAUGGUAAUUAUUUUAUUAAAUCUUUGUAUUUACUUUAGGUUCAAUAUAAUUGCUUAUCCUAAUAUCAUAUUAACUUUUUAUGUAAUUUGUACAAAUCUCAAUUCAGCUUUCGAUGAAGUUGCUGGUAGUCGUAUUGAUUCAAUACCAAAUAUACAUUUACAAACAGCAAAGCAUUGUCAACAUAUAAAUCAGCAAGAUUGUGUUCAUCCAGUACCUAAUGAAGGUAUUUAUAUAUAUUCAAUUUCUUUAUUUUUGAGCUUUGAAAUUCAAAUUAAUUUCUUGAAAACUAAUUUUUUUUAAUCAUGACACAAGUUAUUCAAGGAAAGGAAAACACUCCGGUUAGCAAAGACAACUGUGUUCAUCUUUUGGAUAAUGAUAUUUAAUUUUCACAUUUUAAUUUUCUUUGCUUUAAUAAAUUGAAAAUGUUAUAAUAAUUCAACAAAUGUGGGAUGUCAGAUUUAUAUAUGUUCGUGUAUUUGUUAUUAUAUUCUAGGUACCUAUCCAAUGAACCUUUCUACUAUUUCUACUUUAUUGCUCAAACCAUCCAAUACACCCAUUGGAAGAGAUUUGCUUAAUAGGAAACAUAACAAGUCAAUAAUGUCGAUGUCCGAGAUUUCAAACGGUAAUAAACGUCUACUAUUUUGCUUACUAGAUGUGCUAAACUUUGAUUAUUCAACAUAACCAUAAAUUUAUUUAUUUUUUGCAGUUUGUACAGAUCUUAGUAGAAACUUUAAUGAAGUAGAUGUCAAUCAUUCGAAAUCAUGUUCUACUGAAUUGAUGCAAACAUCAAGGUUUAAUCUACAAUAUUCUCCGCCUUCCAACAUACAUGUUAUUACUCAAAAUAUGAAGAGUAAAACAUCUCAACCAGAAUCGGUACAUAUUGCGUAUCAUAUAUGUUAAUUCCACUAUGAAUGAACAAGUAUUUUAUGCCGAAACAUUUCAUAAUUCAGGAGUUUCUAUUGAUCCCCCUGACAAUGGUAUGAUAAUAUCUUAUUAUACUAAUAAACACCAUGCAUAUUUAAAUUGAUAAUAUUUUAAAAAUAUUCUUAUUUAUCUAAAAAAUAUAUCAAGCAUUAGUAUGUUUAAAUACUAUUUACAAAUACUAUUUAGUAUUUAUUUAUAAAUUGUAAAUAGUAUUUUUUCCAAAUUUUUUCAAUUUUUUAUUUUUACAAUAAUUAUUUUUAUAAUACAUUUAUUAAUAAAUUAUUAUAGUUGAAAUGGUUUCUGAUGUUCAUUUUGCUAAUGAUGGUAUAUUCUUCAACUUGCUUAUAAUUUAUCAUGAUCCAUUAUUUUUAAUUUUUAAUUACAAUUGUACUUUAAUUAUGAUACAUCCACUUAAAUUUAUUAAAUUCAGAUUACUAGGACAUCGGUGACCCAAACUGGGAAUGUUCAUCAUGUAAUGCAUUAAUGUGGUAUCACGAAAGAAUAAACUAGAAUCGAAAAAGCAAAAAUCCAGAAUUCUCAAUGUAUGUUGUGCUGGAGGAAAAGUUCAAUUGCCUCUGUUGAAAGAACCACCCCAUAUUCUGAAAGCUCUUCUUAAUGGUUCUGAUCACAGAAGCAGUCAUUUCAUUGACAACAUUCGUGCAUACAAUAUGAUGUUUUCUUUCACAUCAAUGGGUGGGAAGAUUGAUUCAUCACUUAACAAUGGAAAUGGUCCAGCUGUUUUUAGAUUACAUGGGCAAAAUUGUCACAAAAUUGAAAGUUUGAUACCAAAUAUAGGAUCCACUCCAAAGUUUGCUCAACUAUACAUAUAUGAUACAGAAAAUAAAAUUGCAAAUACCCUCAGGUUUGUAUUACUCUUUUCUAUAUAAUCUUUAAAAUUUAAUGAUUAUUAUAUAGUACUAACUUAGUUUUCCUUUUGUUAUUUUAUUAAACAGUUCAGCAAAUAAUUCAAAAACAAUUGAAUCAUCGAUUGUAGCAGAUUUAAAAAAGAUGCUUGAUGAGAACAAUGUUGUGGCUCAAUCAUUUAGGAUGGCUAGGGAUAGAUUUGAUUCUAGAGAUUUCAAAGAUGUUAAAUUGAGGCUUAUUGGAAAAAGGAACUGUGAUGGACGAAGGUAUAAUCUCCCUACUGCACCUGAAGUUGCUGGUUUGAUUUUCUUUUCUUGGUUGUUUUAGAAAACAAUCUGGAUAAAUAUAAAUAAAUUGUGGAUAACUGUGGCUAAUUGAAGACAAUUUUUAUUUCUUUUCGCUAGAGCUCUGGUUGAUUUUCGGUCCCCCAAAUAGAAGAAAUCUCUGUUUUAAAUUUUAAGUGAUAUAUAACCUUUUAAUUUGGGGUCAUGAUUUCAUAUUUUGCCUAAUAUGGGUUAUGUAAUUUUUACUUUCAUUGUGUUUCUCAUUUAGGUGUUAAUCAACGAAAUUGUAUGUGGUAGUCAACGAAAUUGUAUGUGGACUAGGCUGUUAAGUUACUCAAGAAAUUUGUGAAAGUAAUUAUACUUCUGUGUUUGGAUAUAUUUGGAUAUACAAUGAUUGUAUUGUAUGGUUGGAGAAUUGUUGCACGUACCUAAGUUGAAUUUACUGAAGAGUGAAAUUAAGCCUUGGAUUAACUCUGAUUUACUGUUUUUUAAAUAUCGCGUUUUUAAAAAUAGCAACAUAACCAUCUGAUCCACUAGGCUAGAAUACAUGGGAUGAAAAGGGGAUUCCUGUUGUUUCAAUACCAAGUAUAGAUAUAGUUUCACCUUAUAUAUAUAGGAUUUCAUUUCAGCAAUUCGUUCAGCUCUUACAGCUCAAUAUAUUUGCAUCAGAAAAUUAUAGUUUUAAGAGGUAUUACCAUUUGUAUCAUGUUUCCAUUACUAGAGAGAAUCUUCUAAAUGGUUCAAAUUUGAGGCCAUUGUUUUAUAUGCUUUUUAUUCAGCAGAAGGUGAACAUGUAAGUCUUGAUUUGCUGGUUGAUAACCAUCUCAGACGCAAUUAUGCAUCCUGAUGAUUCAUAACUGUGCCUCAACAUUUUAGAUUUGUCAAGCUUUUUGUGUAGACAUUUACAUGUUAUGAUGCAAUAGAUAAAUAUAAUUACAUUUUCAACUAUUGAGAAACUAAAGAUCUAUCCUCACCUGUAUUAGGUAGUUUCAUAGUUUGAAUUUUGUGAACGUCAAAUUCUUGGAUAGAAGUUUAUUUGUGUUAUAAUCGACUUUUGGCUUACCUAAUUUCAUUAUAGAUGCUUCUUUCUCACUUAUAUUGAUACCAAAAGGUGUACAUUUAUGGAUUCACAUCAACAGUUUGAGUUUCUCCUUAUUCAAGUCAAUAAAUUAUAUUUAUGGAUUCAUUAUAACAAAUAUGAAAGAGUGUGCAAGACUAACUAGCAUAAAUGCUUUUGAAGUUUUUUUACAAAAUUAUGAAAAAAAGUAGUUUAAGAUCUUUUCUAAGAGUAAACUUUUUUUUCGUUUAACAAGGUCCAGAGAUUUGAGCUAGUUUCUUAAAGGAUGGGAAGAAAAUCGAUCUCAAACAAGGUCAAGUGAUCACCAUUUCAACUGACUACAAUAUACAUGGUGAUGAGAAUACGAUUUCUAUGAGCUACAAGAAGCUGAUUGAGGAUGUGAAGCCACAAAAUGUGAUUAUUUGUGCUGAUGGAACAAUAUCACUCACUGUUCUGUCUUGUGACAAGGAAAAGUGAUUGGUCCGAUGUCAUUGUGAAAACUUUGCACCUUUGGGUGAAAAAAAGAAUGUCAAUCUUCCCGGUGUUGUUGUUGAUCUCCCAACCUUAACUGAGAAAGACAAAGAUGAUAACUUGGGGUGGGGGAUUGCCAACAAGAUCGACAUAAUUGCUUUGUCAUUUGUUCGCAAAGGUUCUAACCUUAAAGAGGUUAGGAAGCUGCUCGGUGAGCAUGGAAAGCAUAUUCUACUGAUGUCAAAGGUUUUGAUCUUCAUCUUGAUUGUGUUUUUUAAUAUUUUGGUAAAGAAAAAUAUUGAAAAUGUGUUUCGUUCGUAUCUUACCUGGCAUAUGAUUUUUCGUUUGUUUUGGUUAAAUUGUAGGUUGAAAAUCAAGAAGGGGUAACCACUUAUUUUGAUGAUAUUCUUGCAAAUACAGAUGCUUUUAUGGUUGCUUGGGUGACUUGGGAAUGGAAAUACCGAUUGAUAAGAUAUUUUUACCGCAUAAAAUGAUGAUAUACAAGUGCAACAUGCAGGGGAAACCCGUAGUGACUGCGACUCAGAUGCUGGAGUCCAUGACCAAAUCUCCACGGCCUACUAGAGCUGAAGCAACUGAUGUUGCCAAUGUAGUUAUUGAUGGGACUGACUGUGUGAUGCUUAGUGGUGAAACCGCUGCUGGUGAUUGCCAUGAACUUGAUAGUACUGUAUGCUUAUUGUAGGAAUCAACAUCAGCUACUGGGUAUAUGUUGGUUGUAUAAUUUGUUAAACAUUCGUAUUAUGUACAUGUGUGAUACAUAUUUUUAUUUAUUUUUAUCAAUAUGUUAAUGUUAUAGUUCAGCUACUGGGUAUAUGCUGGUUGUGUAAUCACUUGGGAUUUCAUUUUUAGCUCUGUGGGUAGUAUUUUUUUUUAACAUUAAUACCCGACUCUAUUAUAUAUGUUCAGGAGAUGAUGAUGGGUUUGUUUCCAGAUAUCCUCUGUGACCUUCAAUUAACCAGUCCAAAAUAAAUAAAGCACACCAUUCCACCAAAUGAUACGCUUUAUUUUUUAGAAAAUCCUAUUAUGUAGAUUAAUGUUAGCAUUUUUUACUGCUGAACAUACUGAAGUAAAUAUUAUGAACAUAAUAUUUUAUGUAUUCCCCCUGCAAGUUCAAGUGUAUCCAAGGAAGAUACAGAAAUAUGAUUUAAUAAAAUUAUUAUAUUCUCAUGCUUAGAAGAAGCGAUUCGAGAAUCUACAUACAAUACUAAUUUUCACUACCUUUGAUAUUCAUAUCUCUAAGCCCUGAAUAAACUAUAAAGUAAAAAAAUAAAAGAAAACUAAAAGAACCAACUUCAUUUUUAAGGCCUCUUAUGAGUGAUUGGUUGCAUAUUCAUUUUAAUAAUAUGCAGGAAUAACACGUAGAAAGAGUCACAGAUGCAAAUUGCUCAAAGUAACUAAACAAACAAAUUUUAAAUACGUAGGCCUUUUAGCCACAUUAAAGACUAUUAGUUAUCUUCCUCACAAAUAUAGUUAUAAGUUGUUCAUAUUCAGUGACAUGAAUUAGUCAAAACUGUGGCUCUAAAUUUAGAGUUUAAUUUUCCUAGCCUGCUAACAAAUCAAUACAGAACGCUCCAAAAGAAGGCUACUUUUUCCAGAUGUUCAUGACACCAACGUAUAUACGUAUUGAUUAAUAUAUAUAUAUAUAUANNNNNNNNNNNNNNNNNNNNNNNNNNNNNNNNNNNNNNNNNNNNNNNNNNNNNNNNNNNNNNNNNNNNNNNNNNNNNNNNNNNNNNNNNNNNNNNNNNNNGUAUUUUGAUUAAAUGAUGUAAAUAUGUUAUACAACUUAUUUUAUUUAAUUAGUUGUUUUGAUUAGUUAACAAAAUAAUUUGAAUUUUAGUAUUUAUUAAAUGAUGUAAAUAUGUUAUGCUUUUUUUAUUUUUUAUUUUAGUAUUUUUUUUGUUUUGAUUAAAUAAUAUAUAUUGUUUUAUUUAGAAUAUGUUUUAUAUUUAAGCCUCUAUGUGUUUGCCACGUCAUUAUAUUUUAACUCCGUUUGUCUUCUGUUAACGGCAUGGGCACGUGUGAUCCAAAAAUAUAACAUUAAGGGUACUUUUGAACAAAAAAAAAGUAUAGGGUGCUCGGUAGACAUCGCGAUAAAAGUCAGGGACAUUUUUGACCAUUUGCCCUUUAAAUAUUAUAAAUUUCUAAAUACAAUUAGUAUGUUGAUCUUUGAAUUUUUAAUUUGGAUUAUUUGGAUGUUUUGUGUGAAAUUUGAUCAUCGCACAAUAAUUUACUAUCUUUUUAUUAUAUUUUAAUUUAUUAAUUGUACGUGCAUAUUUAUUAUUAAAAAAUUGAAUAAUUCCGCCGCAACGCGCGGGUUUGUAUCUAGUAUUUUUCUAUAUACGAGAACUUCAACUCCUCGGGAUCAAAUGCACAACCUCGACCAUAAGCUUGACAUAAUGUCUCUAUAUAUAUUUUGUGAAUCAAUGAAUGAUCACCGUGAAUCGGCUACCUGCAUAUCUAGUUCAUUUAAUUUAUGGACUUAAUAUUAGUUAUUCCAAAAUAUAUAUACGACCAUGUUCAUUGAAUGGAAUAUAUAUAUAUAUAUAUAUAUAUAUAUAUAUAUAUAUGAUUCCGGAAUAAUUUAUUUGUAAGUUAGUAGUGAUCUAUAGUUUUUAUGACAUCUUUUAGUGCAUGAUUUCUUGGGUUGGGUUUGUUUUCGAAAUCUUUUCUUUAACUCUUAUCCUAGUUUGAUAGUUAUCAUCAUAAGGAAUUCUACGGGGACAUAGCGAUAAAGGUGGUGUGAUCAAUUAUAAAUAAAAGAUUCAAUUUCCAAUUUCCAAUUUCCAAUUAGAAUCGUCUUCUAUAAAAAAUAAUUUAAAAAAUUUUAAAUUAUUUUUUUAUUUUUUCAAAAUUUUAAACCACAAUUUAUACAUGCACUUGUUUUCAACUUAUAUUUCCUAACAAUAACACACAUAUUAUAUAUUUCAACAACCAACAUACACAUCAAAAUGACAGUAAUAUCCCAAACAACAACAUACACAUCGUCCUCAACGAUAACAAAUAGAAGUUAAAUUACGAGUAAUACACAUAAGUUAAGCUACUUAUUAAAUUUUAAUAAGCAAUGAUUUCCAAUGUAAAAUAUGGUAACUAGAAUUUACAACUAACUAAUAUUAUAAUUUACAACAUAAACUAACUAAAACUAUCUACAAAUUAACAACAACUAGUACUACCAUCGCUAUGAGGAGGAUCAUCGGGUGGGAAUCGACGUUCCUACUCCGGUGUCUGAAAGUCAUCGCCAUCAUCAACCCCCCUCUCGGCAUCGCCACCAUAUUAAUACAAUAAAAAAUAUAACCUAUUAGUAAACAUAAUGAGAAUUAAAUAAAAAAACUUCUAAGAUAAUUACGUAACAUGCAAACUAUACAACUUAAAAUUAAUAAAAUACAUGAUGAGUAGUCAGAAGCUGAUUCAGUAAAUGUCUAAAAGUCUACAAUAGUAGGGUAACCACCAUCCGUAGUACUUUGUCGCAUAUCGCGACGAAUUACUCAAACGAGAUACCCGUAAUUUACGCGGUGGCCCUUGUUUGUAAUGUCAUGAGCAAGCUGAUGCAGUCAAGUACAAGAAGGAAAUGUCUCCUCCCUGAAUAAUGGAUUGUCGUCCAAGUCAACCCCCGUAUAAGAUGGCCCAAUAAGUGUUCUUGGACGCUGAUGUUGACUAGAUCCUACAGAAAUAUAAAUAAGUUUAGAAAUAUAAAUUACAAAAUAUCUAAAAGCAUAAUAGAAUGAAUAUAUAUACCUCUAGGGAACGUAUAUGUCGGUAUCAUAGAACACUUGAUACCUAGCGUACUACUGUUGGGGGACCUGAGACGAUCCAAGAGUCAUCUCAUCAUUCUAAGAUAAUUUAAUCUCAAGCUGAUGAUUGUGGAGGGAAGUCUCGGGCAUUGUUUUAAAAUUCGACUCAAACUACUGUAUAUCUAUUUUUGAUUUAUAAUAAAUACGUAUUAUAUAUUUAUGGAUGAUUUGAUUUAAUAAAGAAAAAGGUUACAGCCCAUGUAUUUUUUAUUUAACUAUUAUUGAAUGUCAUGCAUUCAUUAAUGAUAACAACUUGUUAUAAUACUAAAAGUCAAAGAUAACGGUAUUAAUUAAUUUUAUUUAAACGUCAACUAGCACUAGCACUAGCAAACCAUUGUAUUAAGUGCAUGGCAUGUCAGCCAUAUUUUAUUAACUAGGUGUCCCAUUUUGUGCAUGAGAUAGAUAAUUUAUUUUAAUUAACAAAACGAAAGGCCGGUAUUUGUUAUUAACACUAUACACUAUUUUAACUUAUAAUUAGUCUCGUAAAUUAUGUUUUAUCAUUGCUUAGUCAAUUUGAUAAUUGAUUAUAAUCACAAAUAGAAAAGUGGUAUUAUACAAUUUCCUUUUGGGUAUCAAAUAACAUUAAAUUGAUUAAAAAAAUUGUCCUAAAAUUAACAAAGGACUAGUAAUAACAUCAAUUAGUCGCUAAUGAUAUUAAAUUAAUAUAAUUUUCUCAUCUAAAUGAUUUUUGUAAACAAAUAUAGUCUAAAACUUAAACUAUAAAGUUACGGGCUUUCAAAUAUGGGCCAUGAUAAGUGUAAACAUUUAAGAUUUUAUUGGGUUGGUAUCUCUUAAGACCAACUCGAACUAACCCUAAGUAAGAGUCCAAACUCCAAAGCACCUGUAAGGCUACAAUUAAAAACAAAACAAACGCGGCACUCUCAGGAGACAAGAGACCUGGCUGUAAGAGGGGUUUUGCAAGGGUUUUAGAAAGGAGAGAGGAAGAUGACGAAGACAGAGACCAUGAAAGGCAAAAGGGUGCCGCCCCAUAUGUCUAAGAACCUGGAUUAUGAGGCGUUGAAAGACCUGGUCAGGCACCACAUAGAGUCAUUCGAUCACAUGGUUGAGUACGGCCUUGACACCAUGCUCAAGAAUAUCAAGCCCGCUGAGGUCUAUGAUUCUAUCUCGAACAAAAAGCUUAGAAAUAUCCUUUUCUUUUAAUCUUAGUUUCUUCUCAUUUUAUUCAUAUAUAUAUAUAUUUGCCAAGUAUUUUAUUCAUCUAUUUGUGCAUUCCUCAUCUUUAUGUUUGGUACUCUUGUUUGUUUGUAGUUUCUAAAUUUUUAGUAUGCAGCUGUUUUCUUUAUGCGUCUGUUGUGGUGAAUUUGGUUAUCCGGUUUCCUUUUUUAUUGUUUGGCGAUUUUUACAUUGAAAAUUGGGGCGAAGUAGGCAAUAUUGCAAAACCCAAGGAAAAUCGUCAUAUAUCAAGUCCCCACUUUGAUACCAUGUCGGGUGAGCCUUCUUGGAGGUUCCUGCUUGUCACAGAACGGGUCAUUCUCAUAUUCUGUUGCCUGUUGCUUUGGGGAGACGCAGAGUCUUUGCAAUUACCUCUUGGGACUAGCCAUGGGAAAAACAUUUUUCCUUUUUACUUAUAGAGUUAAGUUUAUUUUGUAGUGUACUAAUAAAAAGAAGGUUUUUUUUUAAUAAUUCGUUCCGGUUUCUUUAAUAAUUUUGGGAGAAAAUUUUCUGGAACCUUGAAAUGGGUUUGAGAAAAAGAAAAUGAUUAUUUGGAGCAGAAUUUAUAAUUUUUAUGAAAAUUCAAAAGAUUUGAAGUUUGGUCUUAAUAUGGUUAGUAACGUGGAUGAAGUGAACCAACUCUUAUGACCUCUGUAGAAUAUGACUGAAAAUUUGAAUGUGUUUUCCAAAGUUGAUAGUAACUUUUUAAAAUACUGUUGAAGUUUCUCAUUUAUUUUUGUAUCUCAAUUACUCAGUCUUAUUAUUACUUUUUGGUUAUAAUUGUCUGUUUUAAGUAGCUGUGCAUAUUUUCCAAUUUAUUCAUCAUGUUUGGUUCUUGACUUGGCAUACUUUGGUUCGGGAACUCUGAAUUAUAUCCACCUCAAAAGGAACGAAGUUCUAGGACAAUGCGAGAUGCUCUGUACCCUUUUGAAGUAAGUAUAUCAUUUUUACCUAUGUUAAUUGGAACUACUUUGUGGAGGCAUGGACUUAUAGAUUGUAUGUAUUCUUCUGGGGCAGUGUAGACAAGCUAAAAUAUCAUAUGAUGGAAAGUUUUUGCUUGAUAUUUGCUUUCAAUAUGGUGAUGGAGCUGUUAUAAGAGAAAAGUUUCACUUUGGACAGUUCCCUAUAAUGUUGAAGGUAAGUAAUUCUGUUAGUUUUACUUAUCAAAAAAUAAAUAAAUAUAAGAGUUCUACUUUUUUUGUUGACUUUUUCUUACCCCCAAAUAUUAAGAUUUGUAUAGAAUUUACUUUGACACAAUACUUUUCCCCAAUAUGGAAUAAUGCAAUAAAGUCCAUAAACUUUUUUAUACAUAAAAUAGAUCAGCGAAAAAUUAAAUUGAGUUUGUCAUAUGCAAAUUUUAUAUUAGCAAAAAUAAAACAUGUCAUCUAUAGAAUAGGACUGUUUUCUUAUGAUGGAGGGAUUAUAUUGGUGUUAUCAUUGAUAAACGGAAAGCAAUAUUAUAAAUGGAUUUACUUGAAUCAUACUAUAAAGAAGAAUUUUUUUUUUAAAGCCUUGCUACUAAAGUUUGUAUGCUUUUAUAAUGGAAGAUAGAAUAAGAAUGUUACUUUGACAAAUAACAUACCGUAAAUUCGUAAACCUUAUCCUCAUGCAAUAUAGUAUUUGUUUGGCAGUAUGAUCUUGAUCAUACGGCUACUGCUGCCAACUAAUAUAUAUGUUGGUUAUUUAUACAGUCAAAGCAUUGUCGUUUGAGAGAUGCUGAUCCCAAAAAACUAGUUUCUUACAAAGAAGAAUCUUCAGAAAUGGGUGGGUAAGUAAUUAUAUGCUUCUAUUUCUUCUUUUUUUUAUGAUUUUACUAUUCUUAUAUACUAUUCUUUUCUUUUAUUUUGUUAUGGCAGUUUUCUGUCUUCUCAGUUUUAGGGAAAUUUGGAACAAGUGUAAUGCUAGAUUGUGUUGAGGGAGUUACUUAUAUUUAAUUUGCUGAGGAUAGUGUUAAUGUUUCCUCUUGUUUUCUUUGAUUUAUUGUUUUUCUGUUUGGAGGACUUCUUGACCUCAUGUGUUGCAAUCUAUUCUCUUUUAAUCAAUAAAAUCUUCUUCUUUUAUCUUUUAAAAAAACCUCUUGCAUCCCUUUGGCGUGCUAUGGGGCCUUUAGGGAUAUACUUGUGUCUGGUCUAUUAUGUAUAGACUAUAGAGGACUGCAUUUUAAGUGCUCUUUUGGUCUUGUUUUUUUAGUCCGCGAUGUAUGCGUCUUGUCCCCCUUUUCAUUGUAUCGCAGUGACAAAAUUUUCUAUAUGCCUCUGAUGAAUUUAAUUUAUUUAUCUUGACAGAUAAAAAGAAAACAUUAGCUUCUUAAAAUGUUUCUUCUUGAAUUGCAACAUUGCUGUUCUAGCUUGCUUUUUGUGUUCUCUAUACUUCCCCCCUUCUUCCAAACUUAUUGAUCUGUGUCUGUAUUGUUAUUGCACAUUGAUCUGUGUAUACAAUAUGAACCAUUUAGACUCUUAUAAGUAGAGUUUACUAAAGUGAAGUAAUUCUAAUCAUUUUAAUUUCUGUAUCUUGUAGAUACUUUAUAUUGAAUGGGCUUGAGAGAGUUAUUCGACUUCUAAUAUUGCAGAAGCGAAAUUAUGUAAGUUAAUCUUUUAGCCGUUAUAGGGCAAGCAUUUCGACUUGUCCAGAAGUAUGGAAUUAUUUGGUUUGUGCAUAUUAAAAUUUUGCAAGACUUAUAUUAGGAUUUCGUUUUCAAGAUAAACGAACAUAUUUAUGUCAGCUCUUUUUGUUGCCUUUCCAUUUCUUUUACGUUUUUAAUUUCUUUUGGCUAUUUUGAACUGAUUAUCCUAUGUGUUAAGUCAGCUUUUCUUGUUGGCCAUUUUGUACUUAUUACUAUGUGUAUGUCAGCCUAUGAGCAUGGUCAGAAAUUCCUUUCGUGAUCGAAAAGAAGGAUACACUGAUAAAGCUGUUGUAAUAAGGUUCUUUUUCCUGCACUUAUUAAAUCUUUUGUUGUCGUAUUUUAAGUUAACUUAUUUUUAUACACAGCGUUGAGUUUUAGUUGUGGGUACUUUGCAUGAUAAAAAUUGCUAUUAAAAUUUUGGUUUGUAAAUAUUACUGAUGAUAUAUUCUUCCUUCUCAAGGCUGCUGAUUUAAAUGCCAUCAUACUAGGGUGUUUGGUGGUUUUCACAAUUUUUAACUAACAAAAGUAUGAGUUUGGGUAGUCAAACUUGUGUAUUGGAAGUGUCUUUUCCUUAAACGAAGCAAAGAUUAUAUUUCAAGGCAUGAUUGAUAGAAAAGAAGAAAGGUGAAGUCAAGGAAGCAGGGGUUGACAUAUGGGAGACAAACUGCGCACGGGGUGCUGUGCGGGUUUGGGGAAUCGGGUGCGGUAGUUGUCUUAUCCUUUUUAAAGGAGAAAAAUAAUCCUUACUCAACUUAGAGAACCAAAAAAAAAGUAGUAGAAGAAGAAUCAUUACAUAACAUGGUUGUGGUUGUGGUUGUGGGCGUGGGUUAGGGUAGUGGACACUCCAAAAUAGAAAGAAAGAGUGAAAAAUGUUCUAAAAAUAGAAGAGUCCACUCAGUCCAGUGUCAGACACUUGUAGGGUACUUUAGGGAUCCGAGUCCAUGUAACAUAUGAACCAAUCAAUAUGAGUGUAUGACAACUUUCAAGGUUAUGAUUGUUUUCUGUGUACGAAGUGCUUCUAAACCUGCUGAAGUAUCUUGUCUCAUCUCUGUUCAGGUACUUUCACAUGUGUUUUCAUUUUUUAAAUAAUUUGUUCCUUUUAAUAAUGGUUUCAUCUAAUUUUAUUGAAGAUGUGUUAGAGAAGAUCAAUCUGCGGUAACAGUUAAACUGUAUUAUCUUAGUAAUGGAAGUGCACGACUUGGAUUCUGGUGAGUGAUAGUAAUUAUGGUAUAGCACAAUGAAUAUUUUUCCAUCGACUUGGAAUGAUAAAAAAAACCAUUUUCUGUUUGUAUUUGUAGGGCACAAGGGAAGGAAUACAUGCUUCCUGUGGGUGUUGUGUUGAAGGUGUUAUGAUACACUCUUAUAUAUUGUUAUUAUCUUUCGCUACUAGAAAUGACUACUUGUAGAUAUUUGGGUUUUUCUUUUGAGCCCGUUGCUUUUGUGGUUAAAUGAGUUUUUUUAAGCAUUACACUUGGUUAGAUCCCCAUAAAACAUACUAGACCACACACUUCCUAAUUAUCGUUGCAUACUUUCUCCCUCCAAAACAUCUGAUUUGGAUGAGUAACAAAUCCUCCACAGAAUCGAGACAAACCCAUUCCUACCCCCACACUCUAAAAAUAGAAUUCAUACACCCCAAGCAACAGGAAAAUUCAGAAAUAAAUGAAAAUGCGACUCAUCAUUUUGCCUAGUUGAUAGAAAGAUGUCUAGAAAUAGACACUUGUGGUAUGUGCACUUAAUAAAGAUCAUUAGUGUUUAGCGUUUGUUAAGCUGGCGACCAAAUAAAUGCCUUGAUUUUCGGAAUAAUCUUUUCCUACCAAAUUAUAGCAUGAGAACUUGUCAGGAAUGAGAAAUUUUUACAAGAAAGGUACCACAAGAGUCUGAAGUCCAAACUCAUUUAUCAGAAGAGGAGAGAAGCAAAAUAUUAAGAAGAAAAUUAAAAAGAUAAAACAAAAUUAAAAUAAAAUGUUAGAAAUGAAUGGAGACAUGUAGAAUAAUAGCACGCCCACAUUUAGCAAAAUAUAUAAUUAAAAAAAGCUAAACAGAAAGAGUACAGAAAAGCGAGAUUUAGAAAAACACAACAAAAAGGUGUGACACUCUAAUUGGCCUCCUAUAUUAAUUCCUGUCACAGGUAAUGUUCUUAGUUAUAUUCUGUUCCUUCAAGUUUCUUUGGUUUAGAAGGGAUUGGUUGUGGAGUGUGGUAGGAGUGAUAUUUGUGGUGGAACAGGGACCGGUUAUAUUUUCUAUCAGUAUACUUUUUACUAUCCAGAAUCUUUGAGGAGCUUAUUGUAUGCUCUGACAAUAUGUUCUGUUAUUGUUUUAGGUUUUUUUACUAGCCUUUUGUUUUAUUUAUGUAUGUCAUUAUUGGGUUUCUUAGUUCAUAUUUUUUUUUGGAACAGGCUCUUGCUGACACUACUGAUCACGAAAUUUAUGUGAGUUUGACAUGUUGCUAUGAUGAGAAAUAUGAGAGGGUAAAGGGAUCUGUUGGCACUCAGCUUGUGGGUGAAAGGGUAAAAAUUAUUCUUGAUGAAGUUCAGGACUUGUCUCUUUUAACGCACGGCCAGUGUCUGCAGCAUAUUGGUAAUAAUUUUAUAUCAGCCAUACAGUUCAGUCCUGGUUCAAUUUUAUUCUGGACCACAUUAUAUUAAUUUCUUGUUUCCUCAGGAAAGCACUUCCAACAACUUAUGCAUGGGAUGAAAAAUGAAAGUUAUUCUGUGGUAAGUCAAAAUGUUGUUACUUAGUAACAAAAUAAAUAAAAUGUGAUGCAUUCAAAUAGGUUCUGUUUAUGUAGAGAAUGGGGGUAUAAAACAAAACUAGGGUGUCUGCAAUGAGCUGGCUUUUCAAGUUUUUUCCUUUCUUUUGUAGGUUGGAGAUGCUGUUCUAAAGGACUACAUUUUGGUCCACCUUGAUAAUAAUCAUGAUAAAUUCAAUCUUCUAAUGUAAGUUACUUUCAUACUUUGUAUUGAAAUAUUUUGUUUAUUUUUAUGCAAUAAUCUGCUGGCUAUGUUGUGAUGCAAGCUGAUUAUAUGAUCUGUGGUUCAUUUCAACUGGUUAUUCUGUCAUUUUAUUUCUUUGAUGAAUUUUAUGGACAACACUCAUUGACUAAUCUUUUACAUCAGCUUUAUGCUGCAGAAGCUUUUUUCUCUUGUUGAUCAGACUUCUGUGCCCGACAACCCAGAUUCAUUGCAAACGCAGGAAGUGUUACUGCCAGGUCAUUUAAUUACUAUUUAUCUCAAGGUAAAUUAAUCUUUUUGAAAUUAAAUGGUUUAUAUCUAGUCAAAUCACCUGGUUACUGUCUAUUAUUUUAUCCCCCCUUUCUCCUAUUGGGUUAUGAUAUUUUAUCAUGUAUUAAGAGCUACAAUUUAAUGUUUUAGAAUUAUACGUGCAAAAAAGUAUAUAAUUACUACAUAUCCUGUGUUUUGAAUGGGAAUGCAAAAGCAAUCAAUGGCUCACAAAAUGUGACACUCACCUUAAAAUGUCAAUUGUCAUAUGCACUUGAAUUCAACAUUAAAUGUUGGGAUGAACCUUAAAUUUGUUUACUACAAUUGGUUACAGUUGCAUCUCAGGGACUCAUAAGAUUGUCUAUUGUUUUUUUGUUUUGUUUAUGUUUUUAAACUUAAACGUUGAUGCUGAAAAAUUUCAUGAUUUCAGAUUAUAUAGAGAAGGCCUACCAGUUGUUACUAAUGGAUUUUAACCAAAUUAUCUUCAACCUCUCAAUUGAUUGUCUAAUAUAUAUAUAUAUAUAUAUAUAUCUAAAUGUAAAAGGUGGAUGGUCAAGAUCAAAGAACUAUAAGAGUUCAACCCAACACCAUUUAAUAAUAGCAAACUAAGACAAUUAUUUGAGAUGUAGACAGGAUUUUGAGUCUUGAAAUCCUUGUACCAUCUUAUGGGUGUCCUAGCAUGAUGGUGUCAAUUGGUGUUCAUUGUUGGCAUAUAUUAUCUUCUUGAGUUCUUGUAUAUUUUGUUAUACUUUUCCACCUUUUUUUGUAAGUAAAUCAAUUUUCUAUUUUAUGUUUUCUGUUAUAUUUUUAUACGUUUCCUGGAUUCAUGAUAGAAUCAGGUUUCUGAUUUCGUCUUUCCUUUAUUUGGACUAUAAUAGACCAGUCAUUUUAAUAUUUAGAAUUGGUUUCAUUUGCAUUGAAGAAAAAAGAUGUGGAAUACUAAAUCAAAAAUAGAACUUCUCAUUAUCCCACUUUAGUAAUACUGAAACUAAAACAGAUAUAACAACUAACAGGAAAAGGAAAACAGUUUCAUAAGUUUAUUUUAAUUUUUCAUUACCUACUUUUUGAUGGUUCCAAAUAUAUCAAACUUUCCCUUUUCUGAAGAAUCUUUGGAUGAUUGAUUUGUAAAUUAUUCCUUCGUCUCCCCAUUGGAGGGCUAGGUUUUCUUUUGUUUAUUUCUUUAAGAUCCUAAUUAACAAAUCAAGAGAUUGGCUUCUAAAUUUCUACUGUGCCACUAAGUUAAAUUGUUAUAGUGAGUGAUUUGAAUUAGCACCUCACUUGGUACUAAUUAUUUAGUAAAGUGUCUGUGUAUAAUAGAUAUACUUGUUGCUCAUAUUGUCAGCCUCAUAUUUUUUGUUCUUUUAUCUUUGUACUUUGACAUUGAUAUUCUCCUUAGUACAUGACAUGUAUUGGUUGUUAUUUUAAGGAAAAACUUCAAGACUGGCUGCUCAAGGCUGAAAAAGAACUUCAAGAUGAGAUUGAUAACAAACGCAAAAAAUUUGAACUCACAAGCUGUAUGUAAUCCCUUGGUCUAUAUUAGUCUCCAGGUUUUACUUCUAGUUAGCAUGAUCCUCUUGACUUCAUUUGCUUUUGCCAUAUUGAUUUAUUUGUUCUGUAUUAUUGUUAUGAGAUCAAUGUUCAGCUAUUUGAAAUGACUUUCUUUAAUGAUGGAACUAUUUGAAAUAAUUAAUGUUUUAUCUUCGCUACUAUUUAUGUUUCAGAUUAUAGUCUUCGCAUGUUACCAAGAGUAUUUGCUAUAGAUCCUUGGGCAAAAUAUUUAUAUUACUAUCUUCAAAAACUUCUUUGGGCAAAUGGGUGAUGUUUGUAGUUUGCACCUUUGUUGUUAGUCUACUAGGUAGACAGACCUGCAUGGACCUGCUGGGUCAAAGAUAAAACAUAAAGGCCUAAAAAAAAGCAUCUCCAUUUUCAAUCUUAUUUGGAAACAGUCCUUUGUAUGUAUCUUCUUCAUAUUCUUGAUCUGCUCUUCUUACUUUAUGUAUCAUGCAUAUAUGUAUCAUGCAUACACUGACACACACAUACACACACACAUAAUAUGUGUGUGUUAGUUAUAGACGUUAGUUUCUUAUGUAAUAGUUUAUUUCAAUUUGAAGAGGAGAAAAAGUCAGAUGUACAUGUAUCAGAGGAAGGAUGUGUAUUAUAUGUUUACCCUCGAUCUUCAGUUUGCCAAAAAUGGCUGUAGCUAUUUUCAAAUAUCAGAGAAGUUACGUAGGCACUUGUUGUGUACUUCAUUGACAUAUCUGCUUUAAGAAGUUUUCAAAUUCUUGUUAGUAGACAGAUCAUGUGCACAAUCCAGAAUUGCUAGACCUACAUUAUGAUUGUGGUUUUGUCUCAUCAGUUAUUAGAUGCGUAUGCUACAAAUAGUUUUUUCUAACAUUGUUCUUAGUGAGAAAGGAUAUGAAUUACAUUCAUUAAGCAAGGUCUGAUAACAAAUCUUGAAAACUUGUUGCACAUUCACAUUGCAUCAUAUCUUUUAACAUUUUCUGUAGAAUAUGAAGUGCAAAUUCUUGGUCCACGAAGAAGCACUAAAUUCUGUUCAAAUUGAUUUUUGUAAUAUUGGUCCUCACAUACUGCAGUAUCACAAGUGAAGAAGGUCAUGGAGAAAAUCACUCCAAAACAGAUUGGCUCAGCUAUUGAGAAUAUGUUGAAGACUGGAAGAUUGGUUACAAAAUUAGGUCUAGACUUACCGCAGGUAUAUUGAUGUUCCGAGUUAUUUUCUUAAUUUGUAAAUGGACCGCAAAACUGAAUGAUGCCUUUUUCAAGGAAUACUUGGUUAUAGUAGAAUUCAAAGAAUAAUUAUGUACAAUAAUAAAAUAAAUUUAAGCUUAUUAUAAACGGAAUGAUUUCAAGAUGUUAUAUUUAUUUGUUUCGGUAUCAAGUAUUUAUCCGAGUUUUUUUGGCUGUUGGAUGUAAUUAAUUAGUAUUUUUGUUCCCGUGAAACCAGUAGUCAAAUUACUUGUAUUUUCGUGAAGUUUAGGUCGAUAAAUUGAGACUUACUAAUAAAAGAGUAGGGUGGAAAAAUAAUUAGUUGAAUUUGUAAGUUUUCAUAUAUAUAUAAAUAUUUUUUAAUCAACAGUUCUUGGUAUGUGGUGUGCAUCUAGCAUAAUGAGACCCAUUCUCUAAAUUUUUUCUUCCAUGGUGUAGAGUUUCUGGAACAGAUUACUUUGGGUCUUAGGGGAGCAUCGUGGUUGUGUCCUUUUUCUAUGGAGUGUCUAAUGUCUACUUAGGUUGACUUCUAGAGGAUUUAAUUAGGGAAAGGUAAAGGUAAAAAACUCUUAUUGUUAACUGUUUUGGAGGACCGAGGUUUAUGGUUCUGGAGCCUGGUCUAGUGGGCUGUGUCCUUUAGAAGGCCCAUGACAGUGGGAGGUUCUCAAUGAGGUUUUAUUUUAGGACGUUGAUUAAAGGCCAGAAGAGUUCUUUGUCAGGGAGGAGCAUUUGGAAGGUUGGGGCUCCCCAGAGCAGCAUUCUUCGCUUGAACGGUUGUGUUGGGGGCUAUUCUUUCCAAAAAAUAGUUUACAGAAGAGAACUUCGGCUUUCAAGUAGGUGUGAUAUGUGUGUUUGUGUGGAGGACUUGGUGGAUCAUUUGCUUAUUUAUUGUGAGGCAUCGGGAGUUUAUAAAAUUGUUAUCUUUGCCUUAGUGUGGUUUCUCAUGGUUAAUGUCUGACUUGGUUCAUGAGAUGUUGCUUGCUUACUGCCCGCGGGGCCGGGGGUUGGGUGGAUGAAGGUGAGGAAGGAAUGAAGAUGGGGGAUUUGGUUUCUUAUAGCAUCAUUUGGUGGACUAUCCGGUAAGAGUGAAAUAGUUGAUAUUGGGAAGGUUGGUUAAGGCCCCUAGCACAUAUUCAGUUACUUAUUUAGGCUUCAUUUCUUUUGGUUGAAUGAAGUGUAUAUUGGGUAUACACUGCAUUUUGUUGCUGUAGACCAUCUUUCGAUGUGCUUGAAUAAGAGUGGAUGCCUAUACAACUUUGUAUGGGACUUUUGAGGAUUUCAUAAAAUAUUGUGUUUGGGUUUUAUGUUUUUCUUCAAACUUCUAGGGUUUUGCUUCAAAUGCACCCUUUUUCAAGGUUAUUCCUUUGUUUUCCCUAAAACACAAGCUUCGGUUAUGGAUCGAAGUAUUAUCUCAUAAACCCGUGCUCCUUGCUUGCUUCAAGUUUUCAUAAUUUCAAAUACCACCCUCUAGACACAUUUAGUUUUUCAAAGUAGGCACAAGUUUCUAUAAGUGGUCAUAGUUCUAUAGGUUUACAAUGAUACAUUUAUAAAAGCUUGGGUCCAUUUGAACAACUAAAUGUACCUUGAGGAUGAGGUUCGCUCCAACAAGCCUUAUGUUUUAGGAUGAGAUUGAGAAGGGGAAAUUUGACAGAAAAGUAAUGGGUUUUUCUUGGCUUCACACCUAAAAACAGUAGAAUCUCUCAAGCUUUACACUAAUGAUGAACCUAAAGCUCUACUUAAAAGCAUUUGAAAGGAAUCACACCAAUUGAUGAAUGAUUGAAUCACUCGACCAAUAAUAUUUCAUAAACUCUAAAUGUUUCAUAAGCUUAUGAACUUGUGGUAAAGAAACAAAACCCUAAAGAAUUUGGGUUUCCUAAUUUAUUAAGGAUUUGAUUGCCCAAUUCAAUUUUGGAUUUGGUAUCUCUCAUCUAGUUUCGGUAUAAAGGGGUACUUGGGGUCCUCUAUUAGCUAACAGUUGAAGUACUAAAGGAUAAAAUAAUUAAAAUACCUCAACUCAACCCAACUCAGCUAAGCAUUUUUAUCCCACACUAUUUGGGUUAGGCUUGAAAUGAAUCCCAUAUGCUAACCUAAACCAGAUUGGCUAGAAUUUUUUUUUUCUAAAAUCCCUAAUUAUUAAUUACCCAAAAUCCCCAAAUAUUUUAUAAAACUCCUAAUCACAUGAUCACAUCAAUUGCCACCCAAUCUAAAAAUGUAAAGAGUAAGCAACUAAAUCUAGGGUUUUGCUCCUUAUUGCAUUCCUAUAUAUUUAGUGAACCACUUGGUUGACAGCUGUUUUAGGUUCUCUGUCAAAGAAUUACUGGUUUCUUCUUACAUUUGUUGGUGAUUUUACUGAUUCAUAUGACUUUUUCUUAAUGUGUAAUUAAAAUUUUCCAUUUUAUUCACAAUAGUAUAAUAAUCUUUCUUAACUGCAUUUUUCUUAGUUUUUAUCUUCUAUCUUUUCUGUUUUUAUUUUUAUGUUUCUGUAUGUGUUUAUUAGGUAUUGCAAUUGGCAUUUUGAAUAUGCUUAAAUUUCUGAAAAGAAAGUUUAGUUAUUCUAUGUUUCUGUCAGUUUCCCCCCUAAACCUACAUACAUUGCUAAUGUGAUGGUGGGACUGAUAUUUAUGGAUUAUAAAUUUUUGUUAGAGUGCUGGCAUGACAGUUCAGGCAGAGAGGCUUAAUUUUCUCCGUUUUCUUGCCCAUUUUCGAGCUGUUCAUCGAGGUUCUUCAGUUGCAGGACUUCGCACUACUAGUGUGCGGAAGUUGUUACCUGAGUAUGGUUUUAUAUAUUUAUCCUUUUUUUCCCAUGUACUUCAAUUGUUUUCUAAGUUGCUAUUCCGCUUAUCUCUCUCUGUUUGUCUCUCGCUCUCCCUCUCCCUCUCCACUGAUCUGCAGAUCAUGGGGUUUUAUAUGUCCUGUUCACACACCUGAUGGGGAGCCUUGUGGACUGUUGAACCAUAUGACUUCUUCUUGUCGUAAGUAUAUAUCUAUUUUUAAUAAAUCAAAUAUUUCUGUGGGAAAUCUGUAUUGUUUUCUAUAAUUUCCUUGUACUGGAAAUUGUACGUCUAGUUAACAAUGCUUAUUUUACUUGUUUAAUAUUCUGUAUUGGUGCCUUGGUGGGAUUACACCCGAGUCAAAGUUCUUCUACGGGAGUCUCAUUAUCCAAGAUGAAAGUCUGACAUGUCACAUGUAUGCAAACCAAGCAUUGUGCACUCUGGGGAUUAUUAUUUUUGGCCUAAACGAUGGUUGACAAAAGGGAAAGGAACGUCCCAAAAUGAUCUUUUAAACUGAAGUACCCUGAUGACACAAUCUCAUUCUGUUUCGGUUCAAAUGGCUGGAAGAAUGGCGUUACAUUAGAAUUUAAUGUGAAAGGCAAAGGGAAUGAUGAAAUUUCAUUGGUUUAAUCUAAAAGAAGUAUUUUUGUUUGGACAUAAACCUUAAUAAAACCAAGUUGUUCUUGUACGAUAUGGAAGGUCUAGGAGUUCUUUGUGCCCACCUUUGUUCCAACAAUGCAAAGACUAAAUGACGUGAAAACAGCAAAAAAUGUCUUCAAAUUACAAGGGGCUACAGGAUUGAAGAAAACUAGUGUUUUAUUAUUCAUUAUUCCACUAUUGUUACUUCAGAAGUACAAGUAAAACCAUUCAUUACCUCGAUUUGGGUUUCACAGAUUUAUGUGUGGAAUUCCCAAUAUUGAAUCCGCAAUCAUUCGAACUAUUUAUUGAUGUUAUAAAUUCCUACAUUCGGUUUUAGAUUCCUAAUGAUAUUUCAAUAAUUUGUUCUUUUUUGUAUGUUCUAUCGUGUAUCAUAUAUUAUUAUUUAGACGAUGUUUAUUGUUUGUCAAACUUAAUUAUACUCGUAAGCCUUUUGGACUUGAUUAGGUUGCUUAUUGAGAUUACCUUCUUAUACUAAAAUUUUAUUUUAUUGCUUUUUAGCUUGUCCCUUGGGAUCUAAGGUUUGUCUUUCAUCUUCUCCUUUUUCAUUUGUCAAAUUAUAAGGUAUCACAUCAUAUUACGAUUCGGAUGGAAAUAUUAGGGACUUCUUCAAAAUGAGACUAUCUAUUCUGAGUGUUCUGGUUGGAGUUGGUAUGACACCUUCAUUGCCGAGGCUUGUACAAGCUGCUCCCCCUGAAGUUCUUUCUGUUCUUUUAGAUGGUCGUAUUGUUGGCUCAAUACCAUCUCAUAUAGUUGAAAAGGCUAUCAUUCACUUGCGGAGAUUAAAGUUAUCAGCGACAUCAACGGUGUGUUUCUAACAGACUUCCUUAGCCAAAGUUCUAAUUCUUCCAUUUCAGAUAAUUCUGAUUAUUUUUUGCAGAUUCCUGAUGAUCUGGAGGUUGGAUAUAUUCCUCUAAGCAUGGGGGGAGCAUACCCUGGGCUAUAUCUGUUCACAUGUCCUUCUAGAUUUGUUAGGCCUGUUAGAAAUCUCUUACUUCCUCCCGAGGAAAGCAACGAUAUCGAACUUAUUGGACCAUUUGAGCAGGUGUAUAUUGAUUUUUUUUACAUUUCACAGAUGAUUUUGCCUUCAAAUAUUAAAUAAUAUACGUCCUUGCAACACAGCAUCAACUGCUUAGCUAAACUUCUAGUUGAUGUCUUGUGAUUUAGGUUUACAUGGAAAUACAGUGUCCAGAUGGUGGAGAUGGAGGAAGGAAAAAUUUAUUUCCUGCCACUCAUAAGGAAAUUCAUCCAACUGGAAUACUCAGUGUGGUCGCUAAUUUAACUCCAUGGUCUGAUCAUAAUCAGAGCCCCCGGAACAUGUAUCAGUGUCAGGUUUGUUCAUGCAUGUUAAUUAAGCAACUCCUUUGACACUAAAUGUGCAUUACUAUCGAAAGUUUACAAGUUUAACAAUUGACUUGCAACAUUCUUAAUGAGUUGUAGAUGGGAAAGCAAACAAUGGGUUUCGCUUCACAAGCACUUCACUGUCGCGCAGAUCAAAAGCUAUAUCAUCUUCAGGUUGGUUCAAAUCAUAAUCUAUUAUUUUACGUGUUUGAUAGGAAUAUUUCUUGUGUGUUCUUGUGUGCUAGUGUUGGGUUUCAUUAUUAUUUACUUCAUUUGAGUCGAUCUUCAUUUUAUUUCUAUAAAAGCUUCCUUUUUCCAUCAAAACUUUUCCUUUAUUAAAGAUAAUAAAAGGACUGUUUAACGGUUGAUAAUGUCUUUGCUUCUAAAUAAAAAGUGAAAACUUAUUCUACCUCUCAUUUAAUAUUUCUAAUACAGGUAGAAGGAUCAGUUUGCCGCCCUACAUCUAAUGACUAUAACACUGUACCUAUCCUAAGACACUUUCCCUGCGUAAUGCCUAUUUUUGUACAAGAAGAAAACUUUGUGCCUUUUACUUUCAUCCAGGGUAGAUAAUGUGUGAAACACUGGUACAUCCGUCGUCAUUCAAUUUUUGAUAGUGUUAGACAGGACUUUUGUUACGUCAUGGGAACCUGUAGUGUUAUAACAUCCUAAUGUUUUGAAGUAUUAUUAUUUGGUAAAGUUCAAAUAAUGGAUGGAAUGAUAAAAAAAAGGGAAAGCAAUGUGACCAGUACUAUGCUAAUGUAGUGUUUGGAUAAGCAUCUUUUACUUGCGAUACGUCUCUUUCUUUAGGUCAAUAGGAUUGGCUUACCUUGCUGGAUACUUUUUCAUAAAGAAUGUAAUAUCGUGACAAAAGAGCUGUUUUGGAGUUGGUCUCUUUAGAGAAAGAAAGAGAAGUAAAAGCGGUUUAUUGAAACUGGUUCCUUUGUGUCUGUUUUGGUGUGUAGCACGAAAGGGAAAAUAGUGCCUUUCAAUUGUAUGGAACUGUCUUAGUGAUAACGAAAAUUUCUUGUUUGCUUAGAUUGUUUUUGUGGGGUGGGUCAAUACCUUUUGGUGAUUUUUGAUAUUAUUCAUUUGGUGUAGUAUUGGUAGUUGGUGGAAAACAAUGGAAGAAGUGCCUUAGUUUUAUUCAUGCAAUUAAUUUGAUGACCUUCCCCAUCAUCAUUCUAGUCUUAGUCACUGUGCUGUUGUUCCCUUUUAUUUGCUUUACUCAAUUUCAAUUUGUUUCAAUCACUAUGUCAGCAGUUAUCCAUUUCAUUCUUCUCUACCUUUUUGUUACUAGUUUUGUUUCAGUUGGUACUGAAAAAUAGGUUUUGGGAAUGCUAUGGCUACAAGAAAUAAUUUGCUCACUCCUGAAGUAUCAUAUCUACUUGACCAAAAUUAUUUGUUGUUGAUAAUCUCCAAGUUUUAUGUAUUCUCUUGUUUCUUGAUUCUUCUCAGUGGGGUUAUAUAUAAUUGGCAGAGAUAUUCUUAAUCAUCUUUACCUUUUUCUUUUUUUGUUAUUUCCUGUGCCUUCCACCAUAACAUUGUAAUUAAAUUGUAUUGUCACAGACUCCCCAAACCCCAAUCGUACGCACUAGUGCAUAUGAAAAGUACUGCAUUGAUGAACUUCCAUUAGGCACAAAUGCAAUUGUGGCAGUUUUGGCUUAUUCAGGGUAAUAAGAAUUUAUAUAAUUAUGUUUGAUAUCUUUUAUAUUUCUAUUUCUUUUCAUUUUCUUAGAUACAAUAAGAUUAUGUUUCCUGCGAUAGUAUGAUCUAUUUUCUUUGUAUUAAUGCAGAUAUGAUAUGGAGGAUGCCAUGGUUUUAAACAAAUCAUCAGUGGAUCGUGGACUGUGUCAUGGACAAAUAUACCAGGUAUGUGACAAGGUGUUAGUCUAAAACUGUCAAGCUCAUGUAUUUCAUGCUCCUAUUGUACAUUAUUUGCUACUUUUAAGUGUGCAGCACGGAUUUUAAGGAGGAUGCCAAUUUACUCAAAUCCUUAAACCAACUUGUUAACAAUGAUUAUAUCCCUAGUCCUAUCUACAACCAUUCUUAGGAGGAGAUAUUUGGUUGGGGGUGACGCAGCAUCCACAAGAUAAAGUUUAUAUAUACCACGUCCACUGGUUCUAAUGCCAUCCAAAUGUUAUGUGUUAACUGUCAAGAGAAAAUGUAGAAAUACGUAGUUAGAGGGUGUAAUUGAGUUUGAAUUGUUUUUUGGGUCGAUGCUUGACUUGCCCGAACCCAAUUCACUGCAGCCAUACCAAAUGCAUAAGUACACACUUUUGGCAGUUUUAAUUUUCCUUUGGGUGCUUGCAGAAGCUACUCUUUAGCAUUCUAGCUCUAAGCUCUAACAAUGGGUUGUCAUGUGAAGCACACAUGAGGUCACAUCGAUUGCAGAAAUUUCCCAGUGGUAACUUAAUGCCCAAAGAUGAGAUUUACUAUUUUAUUUACCCUAUUAAGUUGAUGUUGCUUGGGUAGCACAAGUACAGUGUAUACUGUGGAAUACUCGGGAUUAUUGUGGUUGUUCAUUUCUUGUAUAUCCUUGAAAAGUGUAUGUUUUGUGGUAGUAUACUUUUUUGCAACUUCAAUCCCUAUAUACUCUUAUGAGGUGCUGUGGGCAGACGGAAUUCAUUGACUUGGUUGAACAAAGCAAGUCUGAUCGUGCUCCUAGAAUGUUUAAAAGAGAAGGCAAGUCGAAUUCUUUGCUUGAUUCAGAUGGGCUUCCAUAUGUUGGGCAGGUUGGUCCUUUUUGUGUGUACCUAUAUUUUAAUGUUUAAAUCUAUAUAUUAGGAGUAAAUGUUAACCAAGAUUCUGACUACUCAAUUUCAGACUAUAAAACCAGAUGAGCCAUAUUGUAGUAUCUAUAAUGUGGAUACAAGUAGAACGAGAAGUAACAAACUAAAGGGUACAGAACCUGCUAUUGUUGAUUAUGUUGCUGUUGAUGUGAAAAACAAAAAGUGUCUACAGAAGGUAAACAAGUUUAUCUUUAUUAGCUGGAUUAUGGCUGUUACUCAGUGCUCUGUGGCUUUGUAGAAACUUAGUUGUCCUCUCUGUUAUAUAUACCACUGCUGAUAGUGUGUGAAACAUGUGUAUAUAUGAUGCUCUUGUAUAAACCUUAUAGUGUCCCCUCACAUAUAAAUUGUUAUUGUUUAAACCCCAAGGGGUGGGAUAAAUGGCACAGAGGUCUUGAUAAAUAAUAACUAACCUCAAGGUCGCUGGUUGCAAUCCCUGUACUUGGGUUCAAAAAUUACCUAACCAAAAAUAAUAAUAAAUUUUGUAUUGUUUACUAGAACAUGGAUUGUUUUUCUUUAUUCGUUGCUGUAGCGAAAAACAAAACAACAUUCUUUUUAGUGCAAUAUUUGAGUAGCUUUCUACCUUCAUAUGAAGAUUAGUCCUGAUAAUGAAGAUAUUCUUCAAGUCCCCCCCUAUCCAAAAAAGCUAGCAGCAGGGUAGGUGACUUGGAUAUUCUGAAAGUUAACCAUAUAAAGUUAUUUCAACACAGCUCUGUGAUUUUUUAAUGAUUACCUUUUGUUCUGUGGGGUUAUGCUUAACAGUCAAUUUAUCCACCCUUCUUUUAAAUCAGGUUAAUAUACGCUUUCGACGUCCAAGAAAUCCCGUCAUUGGUGAUAAAUUCAGCAGUAGACAUGGCCAGAAAGGUGUUUGUUCUCAGUUGUGGUCAGAUAUCGAUAUGCCAUUUUCAGGAGUUACUGGAAUGCGGCCAGAUCUUAUCAUCAAUCCGCAUGCAUUUCCUUCAAGGAUGACAAUCGCAAUGCUUUUGGAAUCUAUUGCUGCUAAGGUACAAUUAUGCUUCUGGUUGUUUUUUGUUCAAAUUUCUUUGUGUCUUCAUUCUUUCAUUUUAUACUCCCUCCUAUUCAAAUUAAAUGACGUUUUAGGAAGUUUAAUUUUAUUCUAUAUAAGUGUCGUUUUGGAAUCUCUAUGCAAUAUUGCACUAUUUUUUCCUUAUUUACCCCUCUAUUUAAUAUGCUUAGUAAAUGCAAUUCCAUGAAUGAGAAGAGACAAUUUUGGAGAGAGAAGUAAUUAAUUAGGGAUACAAAAGACAUUUUGUGUUAUUUCUUAAUAAAUGUGCUUAAUUCUAAAAUGUCAUUUAAUCUGAAUAGGAGUGAGUAUGUUGCUAUGCUUGAUUCUUAGUUGGCCAUCUGAUUAAAUAUUAUCAAGUUUUAUUGACGGGGUUUUUGUUUUGAGGAUUCCAAAAAAUGUGUAAAAAGACAGUCACAUACCCAAAUAAUUCUAUUUGGUUAGUUGUUAGUACAGUGAAGUUGGUAAAAGUGGGAACUGAUAAAAGAAGAUUAAUGCUAAAGUAGAAGUAUGGAAAAAGAUUGUCUGAAAUCAGGACGGUUUAAAGUUUUUGUGGGAUCGAAAACUAUGUAUAAAGAUUGUGAUUUUCGUUAGACUACUAUAUCAGAUGGAGUCAUACUGAUGGUUGAGGCCUUGGGAGCACAAAAGUGUGAUUUUGUAUGCAGAUCCUUGUUAUAUAAUUAACAUGUUGUGUCGAAUGCUUCUAUUGACCAUCAUAUUUUGAUUAAGUGUUACGUGGGAAGUAAAAGGGGGAAUUAUGGGGUGGUUAAAGGAGAAUCCUUGCUCUAUAUGAAAUAAUAUAUGACAAUAUUCAAACUUGUUCAGAAAAGAGUUGCUGAAUGGUGGAUGUAAAGGUUAAUUUAUAGUUAAACAAGAACGUACACUUAAAAAGCAUGGUCAUGAUAUUAAGCAACUCUAAUAGGAGAUACACUGGAAUAAAAUCUUUGUUGAUUGUUUGGUCAUAUGUGACGUAGACCAGUUGAGAAGUACUCAAUGAAAAAAAUUUCAGUUAGGUAUCGAUUUUGUUGGAAAGGGGAACACAAAAAUUAACUUGGAUGAUGAUAGUAAAUAAAUGUGAUUAGCUUGUGAUCUAACAAACAUAUGCUGAGGCGGACUCUCUUUUCUCUCUGAAAGGGUUUUUUCUCUGUCUCUUUUGACAAUUCCUAGGUCAUCCUUAUUGCUUUUUCUAUUGCUUGCAUUCUCCGAUCAUUAACCCACGUAUGGCAAGUUCCAGCAGCAACUUGGCUGAGAUUGAGGAUGCUUGUGCUCAGAUUACUUUGGAGGAAGAGGAGGAAGGAGGUGUUGAGAUUAUGGAUUCAAAUGGUGAGGAUGACGGUGAAGCGGUGGAUCUACGAUGGGCUUUUGUUGGUCGUUUUCUGACUGAUAAGAAUAUUAAGUCUUUGACCAUGAAGAAUGUCAUGGGCGGCAGUUUGGCGGCCGGUUAAAGGUAUGCGGGUAAAAACGAUUAAGCCUAACUUAUUCCUUUUCCAGUUUUUUCAUGAUCGAGAUAUACAACGAGUCAUUAAGGGGGGUCCUUGGUCAUUUGAGAAUCAGCCUUUUGUUGUGUAAAAGGCUUCAAGUGGGGAUCAACCUGCAAAAGUGCCUCUCUUUACAAUCGAAUUUUGGGUUCAGGUUUAUGAUUUGCCUUGUGGUUUUAUGUCGGAGAAAGUUGCUAAACAUGUGGGCAAUUACAUUGGGGUUUUUGUGGAAUCAGAUCCUAAUAACUUUGGAGGGUUUUGGAAGAGUUAUAUGAGAGUCAGGGUGGCUAUGGAUGUCAGACAUCCUCUGAAACGGAAGAUGAAGUUGAAGAAGGCGGGUGGUGAGUGGGUGUGGGUUACGUUCAAGUAUGAACGGCUCAACACAUUUUGUUUUUACUGUGGUAUUCUUGGUCAUAAUGAAGAGUUUUGUCCGGAUUCUUAUAAAGAUAAUGAUAGUCCUGUUGCUAAAGUUUACGGUUCUUGGCUUCGGGCUCCUCAACGUCGUUUUGGUUGCUCCAUCGGAGCACGGUGGUUGGUGGAGGGUGAUGAGGGUGGUCGGCAUGAUCCCGUUAAGGAAGGCAUUGAUGAAGAUUUGAGGGAGAAUUCUGAGCCGAAUAUUACGACAGAAUUGGUGCGUGAUGGGCGGAAAAGCGGGGUGAGGGGUGUGAAUUAUGGCAAGAUUAUUGCUAAUUCAGUUACCAAAAAGGGGGGUGCAGUUUCGAUGAUUUGUGCUACGGGAAAUCAGGAAGGUAGGGAGGAGAUUGAUUGUCAAGAAGGGGUUAUUGUUCUAGACUCAAAACGUAGAAGGAAAGAAGAGGAGACUCGAGAAAGUAGUUUGGGGGAAAGUAUGCAAAUUGGGGAAGAUGUUUCAAAAAACUUGCAAUUGGCGGGCACUGGUGUUCAGGCCCGCCCAGUCUAAUAAGUACCAUUAGUUGGAACUGUCAUGGGCUGGGUAGCUCACGGACAGUUCAAGAAUUACUAGGCCUUGUGUUAGUAAAAAGCCUUGUUUUGUGUUUUUAAUGGAGGUGAAAGUGGGUCGGUCUCAGGUCGAAAAAAUCAGAGUUCGUAUGGGUUUUGAAGGGUUGUUUUAUGUUUGAUUGUGUUGGGUUAAGUGGUGGGCUUGCUCUGUUUUAGAGAGACAAAAAGAUGGCUCAGCUUAUUAGUUACUCUAAAACAUAUAUAGAUGUUCUAGUAUGUUUCUCUGGCUUAGGGCGGUGGCGCCUUACAUGUUUUUAUGGCUUCCCAGAAAGGAGGCGAAGGCAGGAAUCGUGGGAUUUGUUGCGGUCCUUAUGUAGUAAAUCUUCUGAACCAUGGUGCGUUAUUGGGGAUUUCAACAAUUUGAUUUGUCAAAGAGAGAAGAAAGGGAGGCUCCCUCACCCUGCUUCUCUUAUCAGGGGUUUUGCCUCUGUUGUUGCGGACUGUGGGCUUUAUGAUCUAGGGAUGGAGGGUUAUGAAUACACUUGGGAGAGGAGUCGGGGUUCGGUUGAUUGGGUGGAGGAGAGGUUGGAUAGAGUUAUGGCUAAUUCUCUGUGGUGUUCUUCUUUCGAGUCGGCUAAGGUGCGUAACUUGGCCACUUAUUCAUCGGACCAUUCGGCUUUGUUGCUUGAUUUUGUUUCGUCUAAUUUUCGGCAUCGAGCUAAGCGUUUUCGUUUUGAAAGUGCUUGGCUUCGGGAUAGUGAUUGUGGUCGUGUUGUUGAAGAAGGUUGGGCUUUGGGGGGCUCUCUGGAUUUACAGGCUAGGAUCUCAACUUGUGGGUCUCAUUUACAGAAGUGGGGAAAAGAUGUUUUUCUCAAAUUUACUAAGGAUAUUGAUGACUGCAGGAGACGGUUACGGGUCUUGAAGCCUCUUCGUGAUGAUAGGUCGCUCCAUGAAUAUAAAGAGCAGAAUCAUCUCUUGUAUUUUCUUCUUGAGCAGAAGGAAGCCUUUUGGCGUCAAAGAGCAAAACAAAAUUGGCUUGCGGUUGGUGAUGCUAAUACUAAAUUUUUUCAUCAGUUUGCUUCUGCUCGGAGGAAGAAGAAUUCCUUCUCCCGCCUCCGUGAUUCUUUUGGUAAUUGGUUGGAUUGGCAGUCGGGUUUACAAAAUCAUAUUCUUUCCUUCUCUGAUUUGUUUACGACUCGUGGCUGUAAUAGCGAUGUGGUUCUAACGAAGGUACGACGCAGAGUUACAGUGGAACUAAUUCGCCCUUUUGAUCCUGGAGAGGUUAAAUAUGCUCUCUUCUCAAUGUUUCCUGAUAAAUCCCUGGGUCCGGAUGGCAUGAAUCCAGGUUUUUUUCAGAAUUUUUGGGGCACGGUUGGAGAGGAUGUUAUUUCCUUUUGUUUACAGUGCUUGAAUUCGGCCAGCUUUCCGAAUGAUCUUAAUUCCACAUCUGUUGUUCUUAUUCCAAAGAAGAAUAACCCUGAAAUUGUAAGUGAUCUCCGUCCUAUUGCACUUUGUAAUGUGGUCUACAAAAUCAUGGCCAAAAUGCUUGCUAACCGUAUGAAAAGUAUUUUACAACAAGUAAUUUCUGAAACUCAAAGUGCUUUUGUUCCAAAUCGUUUGAUUACCGAUAAUAUCAUGGUAGCCUUUGAAUGUGGACAUCAUAUUAAGAGGAAAACAAAGGGAAAGCAAGGUAAGGCGGCUUUAAAACUAGAUAUGUCCAAGGCUUAUGAUCGAAUUGAGUGGGAUUUUUUACAGCAAAUGUUGCUAAAUUUGGGGUUUGAUGUUCGUUGGGUUCGUUUGUUGAUGCUUUGUGUGACGACUGUUCAGUAUACUAUUGUGCAGAAUGGCGAAAGUAUUGGCCCAAUUAUUCUUCAAAGGGGACUCCGACAAGGGGAUCCUCUCUCCCCGUAUCUCUUUAUUAUCUGUGCUGAGGGUCUUUUUGCCCUUUUGAGUGAUACUGCAAUUAGGGGGCAUAUUCACGGCUGUAAGAUCUCCACUCGGGCUCCGGUGAUUUCUCAUUUAUUUUUUGCAGAUGAUAGUCUGUUAUUCUUUCGGGCUACCAAGACUGAAGCUGAGCGUAUUAAAGGUUGUCUGGCUGCUUAUGAGGCUGAUGAUUAAUUUUCAAAAAUCAAAUGUUCUAUUUAGUCCCAAUUCCUCAAUGAGUAGUAGAGUGGAUGUAUGUGAGGUUUUGAAUGUGCGAGAGACUAUGAAUUUGGGUAAUUAUCUGGGUGUGCCUUCUCUGGUUGGCAGGAGUAAGAAGGGUGUGUUUUCGUUUGUGGAGCAGAAAAUGAAGCAAAGAAUUGGGGGACUGGAAGAAGAAAUUUCUCUCAAGGGCGGGAAAGGAAAUUCUUUUGAAGAGUGUAGCGCAAGCUAUGCCUACUUAUGUGAUGAGUGUCUUCCUUUUGCCGUUUGGCUUAUGUGAUGAUUUAGAGAAGUUGAUGAAUGGCUAUUGGUGGGUAAUGGGGACCGAUGUAAUAAUGGUAUUCUUUGGUUAAGUUGGGCAAAAUUAUGUGUGCACAAGAGUAGAGGGGGUUUAAGCUUUAAACAGUUACACGAAUUCAAUUUGUCGUUACUCUGUAAACAAGGUUGGCGUUUGCUCAAUUUCCCUAAUUCAUUGGUUGCUAGGUUAUACAAAGCCAAAUAUUACAAAGAUUGCUCCUUUUUAUCUGCAAGUUUAGGGUCUAAUCCGAGUUUCAUUUGGCGUAGCAUUCUUGCGGGGCAAUCCUUGCUAAAGGAAGGGCUAGUUCGGCGGAUAGGGGAUGGUAGUGACACGAAUUUGUGGACCUCUCCUUGGUUGCCGGAUGCUCUUAAUCCGUAUGUUGAGACGCCUGUGGUUCAGGGAUUAAAGGAUGCUUCAGUGGCAUCGCUUAUGAAGGAGAAUGACAAGGAAUGGGAGGAAGAUAUGGUUCGAGACAUUUUUCUGCCCAGAGAUGUUGAGUUAAUUUUAAAGAUUCCCCUUAGUCAUAUCCGAACUGGGAUAUCUGGCAAUGGAAGCUUGAGAAGAAGGGCAUAUUUUCUGUGAAAUCAGGUUAUCGAGCUUUAACCUGUCAUUUGCCCACCUCGGCUGCCCAGCAGUAUUUUUCUAGUUGGAAACAGGUUUGGAAUCUGAAUGUGCCUCCUAAGGUUCGUAAUUUUAUUUGGCGUUGUUGUUUAGACGUGUUACCUACCAUGGCUCAGUUGAUUAAUCGAAGAGUGGAGGUACACAAUGUCUGUCAGAUGUGUAAUAGCGGUCCCGAGAGUACCUUUCAUCUUUUUAUUCAAUGUCCCUUUGCUCAACAAGUGUGGAGAGGAUCCUUAUGUGGUUUGAUUUUUCCUCCUCAACCAAAUUUCAUUUCCUGGAUUAAUUAUCUACUGCAAACCCUAUCUUUCGACCUUGUUUCAGCAGCUGCAAUGGUGCUUUGGUCUCUUUGGCAAGCUCGAAACGAUGUGGUUUGGAAUCAAAAGCAAGGAUCUGCCCAGUCUGUUUUUCUUGCUGCUGCGACAGUCCACACCCAAUGGCAAGCUCGCUUUUCAGCUGCUACACUUCAUCGAGUGAAUUCUAAUCAGGUUCGUAAUCUUAAUUGGUGUAAGCCUUCGUCUGGAUUUGUUAAGUGUAAUUUUGAUGCGGCUCUUUUCCCUAGUCAGAAUAAGGUGGGUUUUGGUUGGAUUAUUAGGGAUGAAUUUGGGUCAUUUGUUGCAGCUAAGAAUGGUUUAUUAAAUUGUACUCGAGAUCCAGCUCUUGCUGAAGCCCUUUUUUAUAGAGAGGCCCUCAGUUGGCUUAAGGCUCGUCAUUUUUCCAAAGUUGUGAUGGAAACUGAUUGUCAGGUUCUUCAACAAGCUUUAACCCAUCCAACUACGGAUUUCUCUUUGUUUGGUUUGAUUACUCGAGAUUGUUCUUAUGCUCUUUCGACUUUGAAUAAUAGUAGUAUUUGUUUUGCUAAACGAUCAGCUAACCAAGCAGCGCAUUUGUUAGCCAAAGCUGCUGGUUUACAGUCUGGUCCGGAGGAGUGGGAUCCUGUCCCUCCUCCGUUUAUUUUCGAUGUUCUCGUUUCCGAUUUAAUAUAAUUGGUUCCUCUUUGUUUCAAAAAAAAACAAAAAAACAAACAUAUGCUAGAGCAUAACAAAAUGGUACUAGAACAAGAUUGAUGUAGCCGACCUGAAUUAGUUGGGUAAUUUUUUUAUAAAUAUUUCAACAUAUGUUCUUUUAUUCCUCAUGCCGUUUAUCCCCCUUGCAAGUAGAAUAAAAGAAAAUAAAUAUUAGAAGAAAGCUAGAAGAAUUUAUCCACGUGGAUAUAGAGAAAAGUAAGGAUGUAUGAAGGGAAGUGAUAGGAUGAGGUAUGAGUUUUUAAGUUCUUGUACUUCACGAUGAAUAUCUUUAUGUCUAAUCUAAAGCACUCAAAGGCAUCUCAGUUUUGUGAUUACAGUUCAUCUUCUUUCCUCUGUUGGUGGGCCAAGUUGAAGGGAUUAUUUAUAAGCAUCUCUUCUCUACUCUUCUUGCUUCUAACGAGGUCUAGCUUUUUAUUGCUGAAGAAACUCAUUAAUUGACCAUAACACUUGAUGAUUUUGACUAUCUGAUAAUGUUUAUAAGCACGGAUAUUAAGUGCACCAAUCAUGUAGUCCUAAUAUUUUGUGCAAGUGGUUCCAUGCAGGUUUUACUAUAUUGCUUUCUCCUCUGGAGUUUCUUUAUAACAUUUCAUUCUUUGAGAGAUGCAUUGAUACUAAUUUCCCUUGGUUUUUUAUUAUCUGCUAUUACAGGGAGGUAGCUUACAUGGAAAUUUUGUGGAUGCAACGCCAUUUGCUAGCUCACUGAAGACUGAUGAAAAGAAGGAAUCUGAAUCCAGUACUCUUGUUGAUGAACUUGGUUCUAUUCUGACUGCUAAAGGUUUUAACUACUAUGGUGCGGAGGUACUGUAUAGUGGAGUUUAUGGGACGGAACUAAUGUGUGAGAUUUUUAUUGGCCCUGUUUACUAUCAGCGACUUCGCCACAUGGUCUCAGACAAAUAUCAGGUAUGUGAUUCCUCUUGAUAAUUAGGGAAGUAUUUUUUUUAUUUUUCUUUAACUAGUGAAUAUAGUUGAAUUAUAUCUUAUGUGUUCGGUUUAAGGUUUUUAAAAUAAUUUGUUAUUUUGUGUUUAAAUCUAUCAUAUAAAUAAUUUAUCUACUUAAUCUAUUUGUCUAAAUAUUUAGCUAAUGGCUUUUAUAUCACAGGAAUGAGCGGCUAUUUAUCAAACAAAAUGUUUGAUAAUCCUUUCAUUCCAAAAUUUAAGACCAUUAAUGACUAUUUAAAGUGUUUGAAACAUUUCCAAUCUCUAAAUUAAUAUAGAUUCAUUUAAUUUUAGUCGAUACAAAAAUGAAUCGCAAGAUUUUUAUUAUUUUAUAAUUUUGUACAAUAUCUAAAAAGUACUACUAAUUGUAAGAUUUAUUAUUUUAUACUGCUAAAUAAAUCAUAUCAAUUUUAAACUAUAUAAUUUAUCAAAUUGACUUUCAAAAAGUCAAUAAUGAUGUUAUAUUUUGAAGUGGAGUUAGUACUAUUUACCGAACAUUUUGAAAUAUUGGAUUAAUAAUAUUCCAUAAAUAAACUCUUCUGUGGAGGUAUUUGAAAUUUUGAAUUUUCAAUAUAGUAUGGCUCUAUUGGUAUCUACUAUCUGGAUUACCUUACCACUUUUUGAGUGGGAUAGCUCUGGUAGUUGUAGAUAUGAUCGGUCAGAAAACUACUCGUCUCAUUUGGUCUUUCGCCCAUAUUUCUGAAAAUACCCUCUUUAUAUUUAGUGGCAAAAUUGUAAUUGGCUUUUUGGUGGUGCCUAUUGAGAAAAAGAAGGGGUUUUGCUAAUUUAAAUUGGUAACCUCCACAAUUUAUUUCACUAGUGUUUUCACCAAUAAACAUCUCUAAUUUUAUAUACAGACAACUUAAAAUGUAAAACCUAAACAUUAAAAAGGUGGAUUUAUUUGUGGGGAUGUGUAGCGCUAUAAAUCUGCUUUUUUGCGCAAAACUUGAAAAUAUUUAUUUUAAAUGGUUAUAGUUGGACGGGCAUCUCAUGUGCUUGGCAUCCAGUUCUAAUCUAAUUGAUACUCAUUUUGGGUGUGGACAGGUUCGAUCGAGUGGGAGAGUAGACUCAGUAACCCGACAGCCUGUCAAGGGAAGAAAGCAGGGAGGAGGUAUCCGGUUUGGAGAAAUGGAAAGGGAUUCCCUUCUUGCUCAUGGGGCAGCAUAUUUGUUACAUGACAGGCUUCACACAAGUUCAGAUCAUCACAUUGCUGAUGUUUGUUCCAUUUGCGGUAGUAUCCUCACGACGUCACUUGCCCAGCCACAAAAGCGAGCAGUCCGGGAAAUUGCUGGCAUCCCACCUGGUAGAAUCCCCAAGAAGGUUAUGUGUGUUGCUUGCCAGACUAGCAAGGGAAUGGAAACUGUUGCAAUGCCAUACGUCUUUAGAUAUUUAGCAGCAGAAUUAGCAGCUAUGAAUAUAAAAUUGACCCUCCAGUUGAGUAACGGAGCAGGAGCCUGAUUUUGCCCAUUGGUUUGUUCUGCUGUUAUCAGUUCAAUUAAUCAUGUAAUGUUGUAAUGUAUCAUUUGUGGAUAGAAUGUGUCCAAUUAGAACUGGUGAUCAAAUAUGAAUUUCAAAUUUAUUUGUAACUAAAAGGGUUAGGCCAUAGCAGUUGUGAAAUGGUGGCUCAUACCAACGAGAGACUAGCAAAUAAUUCCUCCAUUAAUGUUCCGACCUACGAACGGCCACACUCGAUAACAGUUACAGGGAGAAAAUAAAACAUAAAAAGUUACCAAAUAAAAACAUGAAUGGUAGCUAAAACUUGAUUUUGUUUUCAGCCACAAUACAUAUAAUAAUUAUUUAUUGGCUGGAUGAAGGAAUGGAUAAUAUUUACUAUUAGCCCAUGGUAUAAGUAGGGAUUGGCAAGUUGAUAACAGUGGUCUUGAUCUUGGUCAUCAUGUUGAUGCUGUUGGUGAUGCCCUGUGAACCGAUUCCACUGUCUUUCAGUCCCUGAAGCAGAAUCAAACAUACAUUUUUAUUCAGUUUUUGAUCAACACCAAAAUACUCAGGUCCGUUAUACAAAAAUAUACUCGUGUGGAAAAAUUAUAUAUAUAUAUAUAUAUAUAUAUAAAAAUUUGUAGGUUGCUUGGAGUUUAGUUAUUUUACCUGGAAAGGAAAAUGAUCCGGACCACGAGCGGGGGCUGAGUUAAUCUGAAUUGUUCCGGACUCCAUGGCAUCACUGAUCAAAAUGGCUUUGUUGAUGUCUUUUGUGAAGACGCAACCCUAUUAUUAUCCACACAUCUGUUAAUAUUUUCGGGGUUCUAACAUUUUAUUUUAUUUCGGUCUAGUGAAAAAAGCUCAGACUAACAAAUUCGUAAGGUUUUUGGUUAGAACUCGAAGGCAAUUACUUUAUGUGAAUAAUGUCAAAUCUGUAGAACCUUUCUUUUUUUAUGCUGUAAUGAAACUAAAAUGAAGAUGCGUUUGUAGCUAUGAGGAAAAAUUUGAACAAUAAAGCAGCAAUAAAACUCCACAGGACCAUUGUUUUGUAUGGACACAAUAUACCUGAAGGCCGAAAUUGCUAGCAUUGCAAUGGUGGAUUCCUUCUUCAACAGAUGUGAUCCUGAUAACAGGUAAAAUUGGUCCGAACGGCUCCUCCCACGCAAUCCUCAUGUCAGGUUUAACGUUAUCUAACAACAAGGGCCAUAUGAGGUUGCCCUCCCUCUUGUACUGCUGGCAAAAUGUUGCUCCUUUCUCUUUAGCAUCCUUAACCAACCCUUCUAUGAAGUUUGCAGAUGACUCCGUGACAACUGGAGUGAUGUCAGAAUCUUCCUCCGGCGGACCAACCGUCAGCUUUGCCACUUUGGCCUUCACUUUCUCAACAAGAGUGUCAGCUACAGAUUGCAUCACCAAGACAACCUUAAUGGCUGUGCACCUUUGGCCACUGCACAAAUAUUGGUAAAAAUAAAUCAAAGUUUAUUUACGAGUAAUGAUACUUCUGGCUUAUAUCCCCGCACAAUUGAUGCAAUAUACAGCUGUAUAUUAAAAGUUGUACACUAGCGGGUGCGCAGUGCGCUUAAAAUAUCAGUCCCUUUAUUUUAUUUCUAUAAAAUAAAGUAUGAGCUUGAUGACAGUUGACAGGCAAUUUGUGCAAAUGUAGUAAGCUAAGGAUUUAGAUGGAAAUUUUCUUUUGACCUGUAAGAAAAGCCUCCUUUAAUAAUGUUUGAUGCUACUAAAUCUAGAUCUGCAUCCUCAAGAACAAUACAAGCAUCUUUUCCUCCCAGCUCCAUCUGUAAAGGAACCAUGCCUGCUUUCUUUGAGAUUGCGACCCCAGUAUCCCCACCUGUGAAGCUGCAGAACAAGAAUGAUAUGACAAAUCAAUCGAGAAAAUAUCAAGAAAGGAAUGGGAAACUGAUGUCACAUUGAAAAAACGAUCGACAUUGUUUACCUUAUACAGUUCACUCCCGGGUGCAUUGUGAGGAAAUCUCCUAUCUCUGAGCCUUUGCCUGUAAUACAGCUAAUAAGGCCUUUAGGGAAACCGGCUAAAUGAAAGCAAUGCACCAUAUGAAGACAAGCAACAGCACCCUGCACACAAGUCACAAUGAGAUUGUAAAGCACAGCUUGACAUAUGCGCUUAAACAAAUUGGUAUCCUACUGCAACAAGGUUCUCAUUAGUGUCUCGUGUAGAAUUUUGAGUGAGAUUUUUUUAUUAGCAUAUAAAUUAAGAUAAGUAAAUAAUUAAUUUUCACAAUAUGUGGUGCACUAUUUACCAUAUAUAGUUCUUACUGGACAUUACCUGAGUUGGAGGCUUCAGUACAAGGGAGUUUCCAGCAAUCAGAGCAGGGGCAAUUUUGGAGACAGCAAGGUUAACUGGAUAGUUGAAGGGUGGUAUGGCUAAAACAACCCCCAAUGGAAUCUGCGGUUCAUAGUUGCAAUCUAUUUUCAACGAAAUAUUCUUUUCUAAAUUUCUAAAUACAAAACUGACAAUUAUAAUCAAUUGAGAUGUUUUUCAAAAAGGACAAAUAUUAGUAAAGAAAGGAACAAGAGUAGAAAUGUACCUUAGACGUGAGGCAAUACUUUGUCCUCUCAUUUCCAGGAAAACUAUCAGACACCAAGAACUUGCCCUCUCCCAAAAUUCGAACCCCUUCUUCAGCGCAAUACGAAACCAGAUCCCCAGAUCUUACAACCUUCAUUGAAGACACAAUUCAGACCAUUAUAACAUAUAAUGUGACAGACUGAAUUUCCAAAAUAAUUUGUUCAUAAAGUGAAACUCAAAAAAUGUUCAUAUUGGGGGUACCUCAGUGACUGAAUCCUUUGCAGGCUUUGCAAUUUCCUUCACUAAACACUCUGCAAUUGGAGCUUUGUGCUCUUUGAGAAUUGCAGCUGCCUUGUGAAGAAGCUCUGCUCGCUUCCAAAGCGGGGUUUUUGCCCACUGUUUUUGCACUUUUUUCGCUGUUUCCAUGGCCUUGUUGACCUCUUCUUGUGUACAAGCUGAUCAACAACAAUAGCGAAGUAGCAAAAGAAACUUAUUGAUACUGACAUGUCAAGAUUUAUUCAAAAUAAACCCAUUGCAUGAAAGCAUUUCUAACUUGGUACCCAGUAUUUAAGCAACCAAAAUCUUGUCUUAUUUACCGGCAGAGUUAUUAUAACUCUACUUCCAAGUCCAUUAUAUACACUGUUCUUUUGCAGAAAUUUUUUUGGAACCAAUAAAGUUUUAAGGAGAAUUCAUUAAUUAUCAAGGAUAAAGAUCAAUUCAGCUAAAGUGAUCCCAGAAGGGGCUUUCCUUUUUCCCAUUCGACAUAAAAGGAAAUGUCACCCAAAUUGCAAGCAAAGUGACAUCAUCAUACCAAACAAGCACAUAAAAUGAUAAAAACAAUAGGCAAAACUUAUCAUUAUUUCUUUAUUCUUCUGCUUAAGAAACCCCCACCAGUUUCAAACAUAUAACUGACAAUAAAUUCAGACCCUAUAAACAUCAUUUAGCUCAAAACCCACCUAAACUCGAAGUGUUUCUCAAGAAUUCAUGCAUGUUUUAAAAUUAUAAACUAAAAAAAACACUAAGCCUCGUGCAAAUGCACAAAUAUACAAUAUGUAUACCUUGAACCUUAUACUGGGUCUUUCGGGUAGUUGGGUUGAUAAUGGAAACAGAUUUCCCAGAAGAUGAUUUCUUCCACUCUCCAUCUGAGUAGUACUUGAACACAUCUCCUUCAAUUAUCUCUGCAUAAACUCCACUUCCAGCCAUUUUUAAUAAUCAACUCUACUACUAAUUCCUCUCUCCUAAUCAAUUACCACUCAAUUUUCCUCCUGCUCCGCUAGAACUAUUAUGAUGGUGUGAUUUUUGGUUGGGGUUUGGUUUGGUUUGGUUUUUUUUUUUUUUUUUUUUUUUUUUUUUUUGUGUAUAUAUAUAUAUAUAGGACUUGGGAGGAAGGUGAGCCACUGGGCACUGGCUACUGGUGAUCCUUACUUGUUACAGAUUUUUCUUUUUCUUUUCCCUAUUUCACACUACUUUUUGGUUAAUUUACAAGAUGGCCACGGGAACAGACGUCGGUUAUAAUUGCUCAAGUAGUCGUCGCCCUUUAUCAACUGUUGCAAAUUGAAAGUUAGUUAGCCACGUUUUUUUUUUUUUUUGCCUCGUAGGGGAUGGGAAUUGCUAGACUGAGGAAGACCUCACAUACUUAACAAAAGUACAUUUUUUUCAAUUCUUUUUAUGUGGCAUAUAAUUGUUUAUUUAAUAAUUUCUCCGUUAAACCAAAAGAGUUCUAGUUAUAAAAAUUUACAAGUAAUAAAAAUGUAUUUUUCAUGCAUAUUUAUUCUUAAAAUAUAAAGUUUUUAAUUUAGUAAUAAUGACAUUGUAAUAAUAAAAAAAGUAGUUCUAUGUGCACAAUGUGAAUUAUAAGAAAUUAUAGUAACACUUGAAAGGAAUUUGGAAUAAUUAAAAUUUUGGGUGACUACAAAAUUAUCCAAAGAGAAAAUACAAAUAUUAGAAGGGCACGCAUAAAAAUGAUGAUUGAUGGAAUGGAAUUAAAUAUGAAUCCCAGGAAGUUGGAACUGUUCAACAUCUAGCUAGCAAGUAAAGUAAUGCAUGCAUGCAUGUACCACCAUAUCUAUCUCUUCUUUAUCAGCAUGGGCAUAUAUAGAUAUAGUCCAACACUCCAACUUCCUUCUCCUUCCUUACUACAUUAAUCCAUCCUUCUAGAUGCAUGGGAUGGAUGGCAGCUAGAAACAGCGAGGCUCGAGUAUAUACAUGCAUACAUACAUACAUUCAAGGAGAUAUAUUGAGCGUGGUAGCUGAUGCAUAUAUAUAUAUAUAUAUAUAUAUAUGUGUGUGUGUGUGUGUGUGUGUGUGUGUGUGUGUGUGUGUGUGGCCUGAAUUUUGAAAGGUGUACUUAAUUUGUUUUUAUGGUUCAUUUUGAAUCGAAGUCUUGAGUUUUCUUGUACAACCACAAACUCAAUUUGUGAUGGAUCUCUUCGUUUUACAUACAACCGAUGGGCCCACCAAUCUCCAUGGACCACAACCCACCCAGACUCAUUAUUAAUACUGGAUGAUUAUAGUAUUAGAAAGAAUGAACAACACAGUUUCAGUUCAGCCAUUGAUCAAUUACCAAUACAGUGUAACCGGAUCCAACCAUAAAAUGAAACAAGUUCAAAGAUUGGUGCUCUAUAACUGGACUAGUUCUUUCCCAUCAAACAUUUGGUAAGGUUUCUAAAUUCUCAAGAACCUAACUGCUGCCAACCCAUUAGCUUUUCACCACACUACAAUCCAAUGCCAUCUAUCUAAAUAAUGAACCUAAACUAAAUUCCUUUGUUUUAUUCAGAUGUUAUUAUAGUCCACCCAUAUCCAUUUUUAUUAAAUUAAAAUUUAUAUAAGCAACUACAAAUUAUACAACUAUGUGAAGAUUAAAAAUUUUGACUAACAUUAAAGCAGAUUAUAAUAUUUGACUAGAAAAUACAAUUGCAUGAGACAGUAGUAGCCACGGGAUCUACGCAUCAAAGCUCCUGUAAACAUAAAGGAUCCACAUACUCCCCUGUGCUUGCUUAAUGGGACUUCACGUGCUCCUGAACUAUAAGCAGACCUUCAGUUUCUUCUCCAUAAUCCUGCAAGCAGAGGAUACAUGUAAAAUUAGAAAAGACUAAAGUAAUAAAAUAGUGAAUUUAAUGGCAGCGCACAUUCAAUGAGAAAAACUUCCCAGUAUGCAAGGCAAAAUCGGUGAUCCAAUUUUAUAAGUUGACAUAUGUCAAAGUUUAAACAUGUAAACCACUUUAAAAGAAGAGUUAAUUGCACUUUCCGUCACCCAAGUUUACCCCAUUUAAACCUUUAGAAAAGUCACCACAUAACACCACAUAACACCCCUGACCCAAAAUCCAUCGCUAAAAGUGAAGGGUUAGCGACGGAUUUUGCACUUUUAACGACGAAUCUUUGGGUCGGGGGUGUUAAAGUGCAACGUUUUGAAUUAUAGGAUGCAAUGUUCAAAAUGGGAUAAACUUGGUGGAAAGAAGUGCAAUUUACUCUCAAAAGAAUUGUGAGUUUUCCUUCUACCCAGGCCAGACUAUAAAUGUAAUGUUGUAGUUUCUUUCUUUCAAUCUUUUUUCCCUCUUUCCUUGUGCCUGUUUAUUUCCAUUUCUUUUUUUUGGGUGGGUGUGGGGGAUGUUGUUGGUUAUUAGGUCAUGUACGCAUACCUUCACAACAACGCAUGAGCAUCCAACUACCUUCCGAGCAUUGCCUUCAGAAUCAAUCUUACAUAACUAUACGCAUACAUUAUGUAGAGAAAUAGUUAAUCAGAUAAUGAUCAAUUUUCAGUGAGCAAUGUGAGCCAAAGAAAAACAAGUAUGAAGAUCAACAACCAAAAUAGGACAAGACAGCAAAGGGAACAAAAUUGUGACAAAAAUAUGGAACAUAAACAAGUAAAAUCGAAUUGAGCAAUAAGCAAAGGAAAGCAGGUAGAGUAAGUUGUAAUUGAAUCAAUGACUAGUGCUGCUCUUUUGAAAGUAAGGAACAAGACAAAAUUGAACUCCCCUGUACUCUUGCAAUCCCAACCAAAUUUUUGAACAUGAAAGGAAUAUUAAAAACAAAAAAUAAACAAUUCAUCACGUUAAAAAUGCGAAAAUUAAGAAGAGCAGAGAUAUUGUGAAGUAAGCUAUUGGAAAGAACUGAGCUGCAUAUUGAGAAAGGUGCCAAGUAACUACUUACACCAGACCACUCUCCAAGAGUUUUAGCACUAGGAACUGAAAUCAAGCUGACAUUGUGAUCAGCACAAAGCGUUUUCACUAGCUUAACAUAAUCUGGCUGGUUGCAGUCCUCUGCAACCACACAAAGCUGUGCAGCAUGCUUUUCAAUCACUUUUGCACCUUCGUGGAGACCACGACUGAGUCCUCCAUGAGCUAGUGAUUUCCUUAACACAAGCUGUAAUGCUGUCAUUGUGUCCAUGCGCUCACCUAAAGCUGGAGCCGGAACUGGAGUUUCAGUGACAACUGCAUCUUCUCUGUAACAAGAGAUGAGAAUUAGAAAUGGAAGACAUGCACAAUAACAGCUCCUAUUCUUUCUUUCCUGGCCUUUCAGCAUUAGAGGCAUACUCCAAUUUGAACUAUAAAGAAAUAAAUAUGUGAAAACAAAUGUGGAGUGGAGACAAAGUAGCAGUAAAACAGCUCCACCUAGGAACUUACUUUCUAGGUUAAGGGUAAAAACGCCAUAUAUGAACUGAACAAUAUACAUCAACAUAAUAUGCAAACUAAAUAAAUAAAAUACCUCUAUUGUGCUUCCAUAUCUUUAAAAAAACAGAACUAAAAAACAAAGCAAUCCCACUUGGAAUACUUUUUGCUCUACUCAAGUGAACCAAGUGUGUCUAGUCGUCUACGAGUGUUGCAGCCACAAGUGCCGACUUGUUUGAUUGGUUUACUCUGGUAUAUUUGCUUAUGAUAUAUUUAGAGAAUUGGACUGGUCGGUGUUUGGUUCCUGGUUCAAUCGGCCAGUCCGGUUAUGAUAACAAUGGUUAUCACAAGAAAUAAGAUGGGUAAUAAGUCAUAAGAAUGUGAGAUGGCUGUCAAACUCUAAAGAAGAAACUAAAACAGUAACCUCUCCAACAUACCCGAAAAUACCAAGAUGCAAUUAUCUCAGCCUAGUUUACUAUGAAAGGACAUAAAAUGUCCUAAUAUGAUUUUUAUAUUCUAUUGUUUCCCGUUUCUAAAAGAAGGGAAAAAAAAGAUAAAGAAGCAAUGCCACGUUUGACUCCUUACAAAAAAAAUACCAGUGGUUAUAUAUAUCCAAUUCUUUAAGUAGGUGUGUUGAGCCUAGAGUCCUGGUCUUGAAAGCCUCUCUCGCAACUUAAGAAAGAUUGGAAGAAAGUCAAAUUGCAAGUUCUUUUAUU